CUCUACAGAAAGUAAUGAAGGUAGAUAAUAGCUGGAACAAGACAGCAGGACAGUACAUUGAUCUGUACAACACAUUAAGAGUCAAGUGGUAAUUAUCCUUCCAAGUCUCUCUCGUGGUGUAAAGGAAGGAUCUCUAUUUGUGUCAUAUAGCCUCUCUCGUUGAAGCUCUUUUUGGCUUGUCCUUAUUGUUUCUAACUCUUAGACGAGGUUUUUUGCGCUGUUGUUAAUAGAACACCUAGCGCCAUACAAAAGUUUCAAUAAAACAGAUGAAUAAAGGACUUUUCUCUCACAUGAAACCACAAGCGAAAAUGAAUCUGACAUUUUCGAACCUCAUUUCCAUACAAUUACAUUGUUGGAGACUGCAUUUUGUCAGCUUUACAAAUUUCAAUUUACGUAGCCACUGAAUUUUGACCCUGGAGUUCCAGGAUGGCAAGCUUGUACGAUAAGGGGGCAACAAUCUAACUCUUUAAAAUGUAGGCAAACACAUGAGAAGUGGAAAUUGCCUCUUUAAGGGGGCAGGGAGGGGGAAAUGAAUGUCUUUCAAACUUCUAUAUCCUUGCCUUGUGCUUAAUUCACUCAACAGGAAAAUCUCCUCCCUCACUUGUACCCUCAAAGAUGAACAAUUGACAAACAAUAAAAUCAGGUUGCAAACGUACAUGUAGAACAAAAACUUAGUUUAGCCAUCCUUCAAACAUCAAAAUAAGAUGCCAGUCCUUGUUGCACAAUGACAAACUUCCUGAAGUUAGUUUAUGGUAUUCCAAAGCAAUACAGUCCUUGUCGGACUCUAGAGCACAGAAAAAGAUAAACCUAGAUUGGAAAAAAGAGAUCUGGACCAUCUGGUUAUUUUACAAGAUCAGCUGUCAAAAAGAGGGUACUCAUUAGGCUCCUGUAACAUAAUGCUGUAUUUCUUCAUUCAACUGUCACCAAUUUGGGGAUUUUACAGACUUUACUGCGCAGCAGGUCAAAAUAAUUGCUUUUCAGAGAAAGAGAAGACUAGACGUACAAACAGUAAGCAUCAGUGUGUGAACUAAACACACUUCCAAAGAAACAUCAGAUUUAACCACCUUCAUAUGCCUGAUGCCACCUACAUCAUAAGAGACCUGCCAAAGUAAUAAACGGAAAAAAAAAAAAGAAAAAAGGAGAGAGAGAGAGAGAGAGAGAGAGAGAGAGAGAGAGAGAGAGACGGAAUCAGGAUUUGAAAUUUUCUCCCUGCUCCUCCUCACCCCCAACAACUUCAUUGUACAACCAACUACUUCAAACAAUCAACAAAUAUGUGAGCGAGAGAGAAAGGAGAGAAGAUGAGAGAUGGUCUGUCUGAGGUAAACGAAAUACCACCUUAAACGAUCACAGUCAGUGACGUCCAGUCAUAUGACCAUUGCAGCAGCCAAAAUAACUACACCUAAUUCCAUCCGGUUUAUAACAUCAUUCUUCCUGCUAUCCAUCUCGGACCAAUAUGAACUACUCCAACUCUGUUUUUGGUAGCUUCUUACUACCGUCCAAGUUCAGAGUAUCAGCCAGGUUGUCUGACAGUUGAUUAAUUGGAUCAGCAAGAGCAAUAGUAGAGUUUCCUGUCACACUAGCUCGUUGCUUUGCCUUCUUUUCCAACAAGGCUUUCUCCCGCUCAUCAUAGAAUGUAAAAUCAUCUAAAAGGGAUGUAUCAGCUUCAUAGUCCUUGAAAAUCUUAAGCAUUUCAAUUCCAUGCUCAAGUUUCACCUGGAUAGAAAUCAGUGGUUAGUCAUAAUGGGAAAAUAGCAAAUUCAACAAAAUAAUUUAAAGCAGUUACUAGGAAGGAUCAAAACUUUGAAAAACUUGCUAGAACUCUCAAAAGUAUCAAGCUUUGUCUGUAACCUCUAGAAAGAUGGAUGACAUUUAUCUCAACAUCCCAAAGGGCCUAUACAAGACCCACAUGUCAAUGGUGACACAAAAACCAAAGACAAGUAGAUCAAUUAGUGUUUUCCACCCAUGCUCGGAAUUUUCUUGAGCAAAAAAGAUGCUGUUUCAAAACCAUGUCUAAUUCUUUGUGCUCAUUACAAAUUUUGGGACGGUAGAGGUGGGGGAAGAGGAGAUAAAUAAGAUGUAACUCUAAUUUAAGGGGAUAAUUCAAAGCUCAACAGCUUCAUACUCAGAAACACAAUUUCAGGACACAAGUAAAACAAAUACAGAACCCCUCACCUCUUGAGAGUCUCGACUGUGAGUAACAGGCUUGUUGUCAUUAUUUUCAAGAAGUAUGUGGCGGAACCGACUAUUGGGCACAUCUUUGACAACAUGCCAUUUCACAGGGAACUGCCCGCUCCACCUAUCCUGCUGCCAGUACUCCGCAUCAUUUUCAAAAUCAACAGGUCCAACCAUCUCAGCUAUCCCACAAAACUGUCCACUAGCAUUUACCUGAAGGAUACAAAUAGUACAUCGGCAAAAGGUCUUUAAACUAUCAAAUUAAUGCCCAGGGUAAGGUUGAGGCAAUGAAAAAGCUAUGUAUCUAGUAUAAUUAUAAAAAAAAUAAAUAAAUACUGUUUACAUUCAAUAAGGUCACUUUUGGUUACACGUAGUGAGUUCAUUCUUCCAUUAGCCGAUUCACAAUGGAUCUUGGUCAUUGAUGUGUAAGUUACACGACCUCACAAGUCCCCAGACCAUCUAUACAAAUAUUUACAGGUGUUUUCCCUAUCAGCAGGUUAAAGGCAAAAUUGCCACCACUCACCAGAAUGUUGGUUUAAAACAGCCCCUGUACCUAUUAACAAUGACCCAGCUUCCACCAGCAACUUAUUCUGAACUCUCUAACUAAAUGCUCCUUGUUCAUAUUCCUCAAAGUUGCUUUUCACUGCUUCUCAUGAACUUAUGUAUCACAUUACCUAACUUACAGUUAUAUGAAGAGAGGGACGCGGCAGAGGGGGGGGGGGGGAAGGGGGCGGAGAGAGCAUGAUCACAGAAUAUGAUUAUGAAGUGUCAGCAAAAAGGUACGAAUGUUGCUUCUAAAUGGAGACAGUAUGCAACCAUAUCCCUAUCAUCAUUCUGUUUCGUUGGCAUGAUGAACGCAACCUCAAGGCAGAAAAGAUCAAAUGGCGGAAACCAAACCAGCGCUUCACAUAAAUCUGAUCCAGAUGCUCAAAAACAUAGCCGAGAAAAAAAGGAAGACCGGGAGUUGCCUGUCAUGUCCUUAUGCUUCAUGAUAAGCAGUCUCAAGCUUUCGGUUCCAAGUGGUGUGGCUAGGCCAAAUGCCAUAACUUAAUUGCUCUUAGUGAACAUUAUCUUCACACUGAAAACUUGAUCACACAAAACUUGGCAUAUCUGGCAAUGAUCAGUACCAGGAGAACUCUGGCUUUGUACAUUGGUCAAGUCUGAAGCCAGAAGUAGCAGUCGAACAUCUUUACGUAUCCAGAUAAAGCAUUCUCUCAGCAGAAGUUUUUGCUCUUGUUGGGCUUUGAGGAGCCGCUAGUCCCUACUUUCUUAUACUAUGAAAUUCCUAAAGAAUCAUUAGAGUAGUUCAGAGCGUCCUAUUUCUCUAUCACGUUCCUCCUUACUACGACCGCCGUCUGCCGCUGGUUAUCCAGCUGAGAACUGGGGAACCGUGUAGGCAUAAUUGUCAUGCCCUGGGUAAGAGCCAGUGAUGUGGUAGAUGGUUGGCAGAGUGCAGGCUUGACGCUAGGCCCCCAGUCAACUUGAUUGUGCCUGCAAUCCAAACAAUUAAUUAACUAGAAUCAAGUGGUUCAGAAGCGAAAUCGCGAGGCCAAGUAGUUAAGCAAUUCAACAGAAAAGAAAAAAUACAAAGAGAAAGAAACAAAUUGAAAGUUGAUCUAGUUGCAGCUUUGAACAAAAAGUGCAGGAUGGCAUUAUAAAGAUGACAAAUAUUUCAACCUUCCAAAUAAAAAAAAAAGAUAGGCAAAAUUAAUAAACUAAAUUAGCAUAGACCUUCAAAAGGAAAGUAAGACAAAAUUAACAAACUAAAUUAGCAUAUCUCAUGUCAUUCGUUUGUCAGAUAGACAUUUUACAUACUAAUAAACAUGUAGCCAACAAUUACAUUUUACAUAUUAAUAAACAUGUAGCCAACAAUGUGUAAGGAAUAAAAUCUUUAAGCAACUAUGAAGAUGCAUUCUAGGAGUGCAGAAUGCUCAAUAUUUCAGGAAAAGAAAAGAAUUUGAAUGACGUUACUGAUGCAAUUGCCUGCCGCUAGUUUAACCACAAAAUGUAGAUGGCAUAGUCAUUUGGACAUGUGAUUUAAUUUUUUUUUAAAAAAAGAAGAGCAUGGGGCUAGACGCAGACCACCCUUUCAGACAUAGAGCAAUAGUGCAUUCUGCUUUUAAAUAAAUCCAGCAAUGACUGUCAAAAGAUUAUUACUCAACUACUAAAAUUUGUAAACUUCCAAACUUAUUCUGUUGGCAACAAACUCAAGAAAUAAGAAUAGAAAAAAUUCCGGCAAUGGUGGAGCACAAAGUAUCAAAAAUAUCAAGUACAAACAAGCAUCCUGGAUGCUACUUUUUCUUAGAUAUUCUUGUCACUUAAACAAAUACAUUUGAGUAACCAAUAAAAAUAGGCUGAUUAAGAUUAAGUCAAGUCAAGAAAUGAAGAAAAGAAUACAUGAAACAUGAAUAAUGCCCAAUUGCAAUGAAUUAUUUCAUGAACAAGAAGAGUUAUUCAGCUUCACGUCAUGUAAAGUUUACAAGAGGACAAGAAAUAUAUUUAAAAAACAAUAAUUGAUAUCAGAAAAAUAGUUCCAAUUAUUCUUCUCGCAGAUAUCACUACAUAGAAUCAAGGAGAUCAUGAGACAACUAACCUGAGCAAGAUUUUGCUCAUAUGGCCCAAGAAUGCCAAUUGGCUGUGGAUAUACCGCUCCUGAUGUUAACUGAGACAUGUACCUGCUUGAUUCCAGGGAACUUGAUUGAUUUGAUAAUCCUUCAGCAGACCCAAAAUCGCCUGGGAACUUAUAGAAACCAAGGCUACUAUUUCCAGAAAGGUCCCCUCCCCCAAAAGAUCCAAAAGGUACAUAGAAGCCUGAACUUGGCCCAAAAAGUGCAUUAUCAACUAAGCUUUCUUGUCCACUAGUUGCUGGUGCCAUUAGAUCAGUCUGUGAGACUGUAAGAGCUGAACUAACAUGUGGUAGUCCAGGUGAAACUGCUGGAAAAUAAGGUGGUGUCACUGGGAUCUGGUGCGGAGAGUAAAACUGGCCAUCAAUCAUUAUUGUGGAGAUUGGACUCGGAAUGGGAGAGAACUGUCCAUAUGCCAUCUGGGUGUCAUAGCCAUAACCAGGAGGGAAAAAUAGUGAUGGAUUUUCAUUAUACAUUCCCUACAUGUAGCAAAAUACCCAAUUUCAUAAACAGAAUAAAAAAGUCUGUCUCAUGCCUCUGUGCAUAAUUAGUCAAGGCAACAAUAUCAAAUUGAUGAAACUCACUGGAGGUACAACAUGUAAGCUGUUAGGAUUAACAUAGUUAGAAUGCUCAUCCCAGUUCCCAGUGCCAUUGUCAAGACCUGAACCAAGGAAAGAUGAAUAAUGAGUUUUAAGUACAACAAAAAAAAUGAUGAACAAUGAAAACUUUAUGUACAUUGGAGAAAAGUACAAGGAACCAAAAAAGCAAAACACAUGCCAAACUAACAAACAGUGAUUCAAAGAUGUGGAAGUUGAGAAAAAUUGGUACACUACAUAUCAGUACUAAAGUAAUUAAGCCCAAUAUUCACCUCAGUAUUACAGUUUCAAACUCGUGACAUGUUGACCAGAACCUUCACAAAGAGCAUAAGAUUCACAAAUUUUAUGCUGCUGAAACCCCAUGAAAAUAUUAAGCAAGAGGGAACAACACCCCUCUCUUGCAGCCAUAAAAAGGAGCAAAAAUAAUUGUAACACCCACAAAGCAAUACAACGCCCCAUGAAAGAAUGGCAGAUACACACAGUUCAACACAGUCGAAAGCUCUGUCAUGAGAACAGAACCAACAAAGAUAUCAUGUAGCCCACAUGUAUGGUCAGAGAAACGUUGAGAAGAAGACUAUAGCUGCUAAAUCAGCAAGAACAGCACUAUAAAAGGACCUAACCUCCAAAGUAAAAACUUUGUUCAUGCGGCACAUCAAGUGGAUGCACAGUGGUAAGAGCUCCACUCUUAUCCAAGGGAACAGGCUGAUCUUUGGCAUUUCUUGGAGCCCCUGAGAUGGCUGCAUCCGGAGAAGGAUUUGCAGAAAUAAUCCUUUCAUCUUUGGGCGAAAGUGGCUGAUAAUAGAUUGAAAAGGAAGUACUAAUAGACCUAAGCUAAUGGAGAAUUAGAGAAACAAAAGAAACACAGUACAAUCAUGAGUUAUAUGGAUUUACCUGUUCUGUCACAUUAUGCAAUUCAAUAGCUCGCUCCCCUGCAUUGAAACCAAAAAAUUCAUAAAGCAACCACACACUUAAUUGGUCAAGUAAGAAAGCAUGAUACCAUUCUUAUUUUCCUCUUUCUUAUCUAUUGCAGUGUGGGAAAGAAUAUUGACCUCAUUCCCACUUUAAAAUCAUCAAGAAUAUAAGUAAUACACCAAUUAUUUACCAGUAAUACAACAGACUAAGCAACCAUUAAGAAACAUUUAGUCUCAAAACGAACAUGUCAUCCCCAGAAGCAUUAGGUACAGGACAUAUAACAAUUGCAAAGUUUUCAACUGUUGAACAAAAUCACCAUGUCAUUAAUAGAUUCCCAACAUCCGCUUAUACAUAAAAGGGCCAUCUGCACAAACUCCACGUUGGAAACAUCCCCCCCCCCAAAACACAAUUCCCAUUACCAAAUAAUAGGGAGGUGGGAUUUAGUAAUUCUAUUAUGCCUGACUGUAAGAGAUUCCAAGAUUAGGCUAAGCUUUCAUCAGAAUGGGGACAAACAUGUGAUAAUACAAGUUCGACGAGAAAAAGCACCGUUUACUUUUUCGGCACACAAAAACAUCUUUCUGAUAAGGGCACAUCAAUCAAGAAAUUUUCUGCUGAGACCUUUCUGAGUAAACUUAACAUACAUGCCACCUUUCCACAUUUACGAAUACUACUGUUAUCACCUUUCCAGGAAAAGAAGCAUGCCAGCGAUAUUAAAACACCAUAAAUGAUCCUCAUUCUAUCUUGAACCCUAAUCAGCAUGCCAACGAUAAGCUUUUUUAAUGCAGAACCAAAUGAAUGGGCUACGACUCUACAGAAAGUCAUGAAGGUAGAUAAUAGCUGGAACAAGACAGCAGGACAGUACAUUGAUCUGUACAACACAUUGAGAGUCAAGUGGUAAUCAUCCUUCCAAGUCUCGUGGUGUAAAGGAAGGAUCUCUGUUUGUGUCAUAUAGCCUCUCUCGUUGAAGCUCCAACCGUGCUCUUUUUGGCUUGUCCUUAUUGUUUCUAACUCUUAGACGAGGUUUUUUGCGCUGUUGUUAAUAGAACACCUAGCGCCAUACAAAAGUUUCAAUAAAACAGAUGAAUAAAGGACUUUUCUCUCACUUGAAACCACAAGCGAAAAUGAAUCUGACAUUUUUUAACCUUAUUUCCAUACAAUUACAUUGUUGGAGACUGCAUUUUGUCAGCUUUACAAAUUUCAAUUUACGUCGCCACUAAAUUUUGACCCUGGAGUUCCAGGAUGGCAAGCUUAUACGAUAAGGGGGCAACAAUCUAACUUGAUUCGUUGCCUAACCAACCACUAGCUGCAAAAAUGAAAAAUGUAGGCAAACACAUGAGAAGUGGAAAUUGCCUCUUUAAGGGGGCAGGGAGGGGGAAAUGAAUGUCUUUCAUACUUCCAUAUCCUUGCCUUGUGCUUAAUUCACUCAUAAGGAAAAUCUCCUCCCUCACUUAUACCCUCCAAGAUGAACAACUGACAACAAUAAAAUCAGGUUGCAAACGUACAUGUAGAACAAAAACUUAGUUUAGCCAUCCUUCAAACAUCAAAAUAAGAUGCCAGUCCUUGUUGCACAAUGACAGACUUCCUGAAGUUAGUUUAUGGUAUUCCAAAGCAAUACAGUACUUGUCGGACUCUAGUGCACAGAAAAAGAUAAACCUAGAUUGGAAAAAAGAGAUCUGGACCAUCUGGUUAUUUUACAAGAUCAGCUGUCAAAAAGAGGGUACUCAUUAGGCUCCUGUAACAUAAUGCUGUAUUUCUUCAUUCAACUGUCACCAAUUUGGGGAUUUUACAGACUUUACUGCGCAGCAGGUCAAAAUAAUUGCUUUUCAGAGAAAGAGAAGACUAGACGUACAAACAGUAAGCAUCAGUGUGUGAACUAAACACACUUCCAAAGAAACAUCAGAUUUAACCACCUUCAUAUGCCUGAUGCCACCUACAUCAUAAGAGAACUGCCAAAGUAAUAAACGGAAAAAAAAAAAAAAAAAGGAGAGAGAGAGAGACGGAAUCAGGAUUUGAAAUUUUCUCCCUGCUCCUCCUCAUCCCCAACAACUUCAUUGUACAACCAACUACUUCAAACAAUCAACAAAUAUGUGAGCGAGAGAGAAAGGAGAGGAUGAGAGAUGGUCUGUCUGAGGUAAACGAAAUACCACCUUAAAAGAUCACAGUCAGUGACGUCCAGUCAUAUGACCAUUGCAGCAGCCAAAAUAACUACACCUAAUUCCAUCCGGUUUAUAACAUCGUUCUUCCUGCUAUCCAUCUCGGACCACUAUGAACUACUCCAACUCUGUUUUUGGUAGCUUCUUACUACCGUCCAAGUUCAGAGUAUCAGCCAGGUUGUCUGACAGUUGAUUAAUUGGAUCAGCAAGAGCAAUAGUAGAGUUUCCUGUCACACUAGCUCGUUGCUUUGCCUUCUUUUCCAACAAGGCUUUCUCCCGCUCAUCAUAGAAUGUAAAAUCAUCUAAAAGGGAUGUAUCAGCUUCAUAGUCCUUGAAAAUCUUAAGCAUUUCAAUUCCUUGCUCAAGUUUCACCUGAAUAGAAGUCAGUGGUUAGUCAUAAUGGGAAAAUAGCAAAUUCAACAAAAUGAUUUAAAGCAGUUACUAGGAAAGAUCAAAACUUUGAAAAACUUGCUAGAACUCUCAAAAGUAUCAAGCUUUGUCUGUAACCUCUAGAAAGAUGGAUGACAUUUAUCUCAAUGUCCCAAAGGGCCUAUACAAGACCCACAUGUCAAUGGUGACACAAAAACCAAAGACAAGUAGAUCAAUUAGUGUUUUCCACCCAUGCUCGGAAUUUUCUUGAGCAAAAAAGGUGCUGUUUCAAAACCAAGUCUAAUUCUUUGUGAUCAUUACAAAUUUUGGGACGGUAGAGGUGGGGGAAGAGGAGAAAAAUAAGAUGUAACUCUAAUUUAAGGGGAUAAUUCAAAGCUCAACAGCUUCAUACUCAGAAACACAAUUUCAAGACGCAAAUAAAACAAAUACAGAACCCCUCACCUCUUGAGAGUCUCGACUGUGAGUAACAGGCUUGUUGUCAUUAUUUUCAAGAAGUAUGUGGCGGAACCGACUAUUGGGCACAUCUUUGACAACAUGCCAUUUCACAGGGAACUGCCCGCUCCACCUAUCCUGCUGCCAGUACUCCGCAUCAUUUUCAAAAUCAACAGGUCCAACCAUCUCAGCUAUCCCACAAAACUGUCCACUAGCAUUUACCUGAAGGAUACAAAUAGUACAUUGACAAAAGGUCUUUAAACUAUCAAAUUAAUGACCAGGGUAAGGUUGAGGCAAUGAAAAAGCAAUGUAUCUAGUAUAAUUGUUAAAAAAAAAAAAACAAAAUUAAAUACUGUUUACAUUCAAUAAGGUCACUUUUGGUUACACGUAGUGAGUUCAUUCUUCCAUUAACCGAUUCACAAUGGAUCUUGGUCAUUGAUGUGUAAGUUACACGACCUCACAAGUCCCCAGACCAUCUAUACAAAUAUUUACAGGUGUUUUCCUUAUCAGCACGUUAAAGGCAAAAUUGCCACCACUCACCAGAACGUUGGUUUAAAACAGCCCCUGUACCUAUUAACAAUGACCCACCUUCCACCAGCAACUUAUUCUGAACUCUCUAACUAAAUGCUCCUUGUUCAUAUUCCUCAAAGUUGCUUUUCACUGCUUCUCAUGAACUUAUGUAUCACAUUACCUAACUUACAGUUAUAUGAAGAGAGGGACGUGGCAGAGGGGGAAGGGGGGAAGGGGGUGAGAGAAAGCAUGAUCACAAUAGAUUAUGAGUGUCACAAAAAGGUACCAAUGUGCUUCUAAAUGGAACAGUAUCACAUAUCUAUCAUCAUUCUGUUCUUGGCAUGAUCAGACUCAACCUCAAGCAGAAAAGACAUAAACGGAAACAAACAGGCUUCCAUAAAUCUGAUCCAGACGCUCAAAAAACAUACCGAGAAAAAAAGGAAGACCGGGGAGUUGCCUGUCAUGUCCUUUGCUUCAUGAUAAGCAGCAUCAAGCUUUCUGUUUCCAAGUGGUGUGCUAGCCCAAAUGCCAUACUUAAUGCUCUUGUGAACAUUAUCUUCACUGAAAGACUUGAUCACAAAAAACUUGGCAUUCUCAUAAUCAGUGACAAACUCUGGACUGUUAUACUGGUCAAGCUGAAAGCCAGAAGUAGAUUCAACAUCUUUACGUAUGCCAGAUGAAGCAUUCUCUUCAGCAGAAUUCUUGCUUUUUGGUUUUGAAGCCCUAGGUCCUCUAUUUCUAUCACUUGAAAUUCCUAAAGAAUCAUUAGAGUAGUUCAGAGAGUCCUUUUCUCUAUCACGCCUUCCUCCUUUAUCUAGACCCAGUCUGUUCCGCUGGUUAUCCCAGUGAGAACUGGAACCUGUACCAUAUUUCAUGCCCUGGUAAGAGCCACUAUGUGGAUAAUGUCUAGCAGACGAGCUUGACGCUAACCCCAGCCCUUGAUAUGGCGCCUGCAAUCCAAAAAUUAAUAACUAAAUCAACUGGUCCAGAAGCGAAAUGAGCCAAGUAGUUAAGCAAUUCAACAGAAAAGAAAAAAUACAAAGAGAAAGAAACAAAUUGAAAGUUGAUCUAGUUGCAGCUUUGAACAAAAAGUGCAGGAUGGCAUUAUAAAGAUGACAAAAAUAUUUCAACCUUCCAAACCAAAAAAAAAAGAUAGACAAAAUUAAUAAACUAAAUUAGCAUAGACCUUCAAAAGGAAAGUGAGACAAAAUUAACAAACUAAAUUAGCAUAUCUCAUGUCAUUCGUUUGUCAUUACUCACUUCAGAUAGACAUUUUACAUACUAAUAAACAUGUAGCCAACAAUUACAUUUUACAUGGUAAUAAACAUGUAGCCAACAAUGUGUAAGGAAUAAAAUCUUUAAGCAACUAUGAAGAUGCAUUCUAGGAGUGCAGAAUGCUCAAUAUUUCAGGAAAAGAAAAGAAUUUGAAUGACGUUACUGAUGCAAUUGCCUGCCGCUAGUUUAACCACAAAAUGUAGAUGGCAUAGUCAUUUGGACAUGUGAUUUAAUUUUUUUAAAAAAAAGAAGAGCAUGGGGCUAGACGCAGACCACCCUUUCAGACAUAGAGCAAUAGUGCAUUCUGCUUUUAAAUAAAUCCAGCAAUGACUGUCAAAAGAUUAUUACUCAACUACUAAAAUUUGUAAACUUCCAAACUUAUUCUGUUGGCAACAAACUCAAGAAAUAAGAAUAGAAAAAAUUCCGGCAAUGGUGGAGCACAAAGUAUCAAAAAUAUCAAGUACAAACAAGCAUCCUGGAUGCUACUUUUUCUUAGAUAUUCUUGUCACUUAAACAAAUACAUUUGAGUAACCAAUAAAAAUAGGCUGAUUAAGAUUAAGUCAAGUCAAGAAAUGAAGAAAAGAAUACAUGAAACAUGAAUAAUGCCCAAUUGCAAUGAAUUAUUUCAUGAACAAGAAGAGUUAUUCAGCUUCACGUCAUGUAAAGUUUACAAGAGGACAAGAAAUAUAUUUAAAAAACAAUAAUUGAUAUCAGAAAAAUAGUUCCAAUUAUUCUUCUCGCAGAUAUCACUACAUAGAAUCAAGGAGAUCAUGAGACAACUAACCUGAGCAAGAUUUUGCUCAUAUGGCCCAAGAAUGCCAAUUGGCUGUGGAUAUACCGCUCCUGAUGUUAACUGAGACAUGUACCUGCUUGAUUCCAGGGAACUUGAUUGAUUUGAUAAUCCUUCAGCAGACCCAAAAUCGCCUGGGAACUUAUAGAAACCAAGGCUACUAUUUCCAGAAAGGUCCCCUCCCCCAAAAGAUCCAAAAGGUACAUAGAAGCCUGAACUUGGCCCAAAAAGUGCAUUAUCAACUAAGCUUUCUUGUCCACUAGUUGCUGGUGCCAUUAGAUCAGUCUGUGAGACUGUAAGAGCUGAACUAACAUGUGGUAGUCCAGGUGAAACUGCUGGAAAAUAAGGUGGUGUCACUGGGAUCUGGUGCGGAGAGUAAAACUGGCCAUCAAUCAUUAUUGUGGAGAUUGGACUCGGAAUGGGAGAGAACUGUCCAUAUGCCAUCUGGGUGUCAUAGCCAUAACCAGGAGGGAAAAAUAGUGAUGGAUUUUCAUUAUACAUUCCCUACAUGUAGCAAAAUACCCAAUUUCAUAAACAGAAUAAAAAAGUCUGUCUCAUGCCUCUGUGCAUAAUUAGUCAAGGCAACAAUAUCAAAUUGAUGAAACUCACUGGAGGUACAACAUGUAAGCUGUUAGGAUUAACAUAGUUAGAAUGCUCAUCCCAGUUCCCAGUGCCAUUGUCAAGACCUGAACCAAGGAAAGAUGAAUAAUGAGUUUUAAGUACAACAAAAAAAAUGAUGAACAAUGAAAACUUUAUGUACAUUGGAGAAAAGUACAAGGAACCAAAAAAGCAAAACACAUGCCAAACUAACAAACAGUGAUUCAAAGAUGUGGAAGUUGAGAAAAAUUGGUACACUACAUAUCAGUACUAAAGUAAUUAAGCCCAAUAUUCACCUCAGUAUUACAGUUUCAAACUCGUGACAUGUUGACCAGAACCUUCACAAAGAGCAUAAGAUUCACAAAUUUUAUGCUGCUGAAACCCCAUGAAAAUAUUAAGCAAGAGGGAACAACACCCCUCUCUUGCAGCCAUAAAAAGGAGCAAAAAUAAUUGUAACACCCACAAAGCAAUACAACGCCCCAUGAAAGAAUGGCAGAUACACACAGUUCAACACAGUCGAAAGCUCUGUCAUGAGAACAGAACCAACAAAGAUAUCAUGUAGCCCACAUGUAUGGUCAGAGAAACGUUGAGAAGAAGACUAUAGCUGCUAAAUCAGCAAGAACAGCACUAUAAAAGGACCUAACCUCCAAAGUAAAAACUUUGUUCAUGCGGCACAUCAAGUGGAUGCACAGUGGUAAGAGCUCCACUCUUAUCCAAGGGAACAGGCUGAUCUUUGGCAUUUCUUGGAGCCCCUGAGAUGGCUGCAUCCGGAGAAGGAUUUGCAGAAAUAAUCCUUUCAUCUUUGGGCGAAAGUGGCUGAUAAUAGAUUGAAAAGGAAGUACUAAUAGACCUAAGCUAAUGGAGAAUUAGAGAAACAAAAGAAACACAGUACAAUCAUGAGUUAUAUGGAUUUACCUGUUCUGUCACAUUAUGCAAUUCAAUAGCUCGCUCCCCUGCAUUGAAACCAAAAAAUUCAUAAAGCAACCACACACUUAAUUGGUCAAGUAAGAAAGCAUGAUACCAUUCUUAUUUUCCUCUUUCUUAUCUAUUGCAGUGUGGGAAAGAAUAUUGACCUCAUUCCCACUUUAAAAUCAUCAAGAAUAUAAGUAAUACACCAAUUAUUUACCAGUAAUACAACAGACUAAGCAACCAUUAAGAAACAUUUAGUCUCAAAACGAACAUGUCAUCCCCAGAAGCAUUAGGUACAGGACAUAUAACAAUUGCAAAGUUUUCAACUGUUGAACAAAAUCACCAUGUCAUUAAUAGAUUCCCAACAUCCGCUUAUACAUAAAAGGGCCAUCUGCACAAACUCCACGUUGGAAACAUCCCCCCCCCCAAAACACAAUUCCCAUUACCAAAUAAUAGGGAGGUGGGAUUUAGUAAUUCUAUUAUGCCUGACUGUAAGAGAUUCCAAGAUUAGGCUAAGCUUUCAUCAGAAUGGGGACAAACAUGUGAUAAUACAAGUUCGACGAGAAAAAGCACCGUUUACUUUUUCGGCACACAAAAACAUCUUUCUGAUAAGGGCACAUCAAUCAAGAAAUUUUCUGCUGAGACCUUUCUGAGUAAACUUAACAUACAUGCCACCUUUCCACAUUUACGAAUACUACUGUUAUCACCUUUCCAGGAAAAGAAGCAUGCCAGCGAUAUUAAAACACCAUAAAUGAUCCUCAUUCUAUCUUGAACCCUAAUCAGCAUGCCAACGAUAGGUAAAGAAGCAACUAAAAACUCAAAACUUUCCAGAAAAACCCAAUUCAAGUCGGCCAACGCCCUUGUCAAUCUACCAAAUUCAAUAUCCGUUAUACAAAGCAAGAUAGCAAAGCUACCAAAUUCAAUUCAGAAAAAUAACAGAACCAAGAUUUGCUAUGCAAAAAAAAAAAAAAAAAAUCAUACAUAUACGCGAAAGUAGAGCUAUGAUACAAACCAGGAGACGAGAUGGGGGCGAAUCGAUCGAAGCUCUGUUGACCUGUUUCUUCCAUGAAUUCAAAUCCAAUCGAAACGAAAGCGGAUCGAAGAAUUUCAAUACAAAUACAAGAUUUAUUAUCUAAAAAAAAUCUGUAAAAUGAAGGGGGGCCAAAAAAAGAAACCCUACUUCGCUCUACUGUAGAAGAAUUGCCGUUAUUAUAAUGGAAUUGGGAUUUUGAAGAUAGAGAGGAAGGGGAAGGGGAAGGGGAAGGGGCGGGUUGGCCGGGUGGGGCUGGGGGUGGGGGUGGGGGGUAGUGAGGGGUAGUGAGGGGUCGGGGGAUGGGCAGCAAUGAGGAAUUGAUGGCCGCUGGAGGGGUUUGAAAAUGAAUAGAGGUGAGGGUUUUAGGGUCAGAUUUAUAAAUAACCAAAAACUUGUUGUUUAGGGGUUAGGCUUUUAUUUAUGGAAGCAUCCUUCACUUUUUCGGUUAUUCUUUUUCUGUCUUGAUUUCUUCUUUUUAUCUAGUAUUUUGAUUUUCUUUAGGGAUAAUUUUAGAAACCUCCCCUGAGGUUUCUAACAAUUAUACGGAAAUACCCUCUAAUAUUAAAAAUUACAUUAUCCUCCCCUUGAUUGAUAUAUUUGAUAACAAUCUAAGUUCAUGUGAGAAAAGGUAAUGUUAAAAGUAAUGAAUUAGUCUUAUCAAACAAUUAUAUUUCAAGUUUGGCCUCAUUGAACCCCGUGAGAAAAUGAGUUAAAAUUUGGGGCAAGAAAAAUGGCAAUAAAAAAAGGAAGAAAAAUUGGCACAAAUUUGAUCCACUUAGGACAUGAAAAAAAAUUAAACAAAUAAGCAUUCUGGACAGUAAAGUCCUACAAGAACUGUUGGAAGUGCAACAGUACUUUGUGGACAAUAUAUAACAUAAAAUGCUGGUAAAUGAGCGAAAAACAAAGGCCAAUUUCAACUGAAUGCAAAGGCAACCAGAGAAAAUGUCUUUAUCAAACUUUCAUCAGAUGCGGCACAUCAUUGAAGAUCAAAAACAGAAACUGUGGGUAUGAAUGCAAAGCAAUAAUUAAAAUUUUCGAAAGCAAAAAAAAAUCCUCUCAAGUUAUAUUUUUGUAAUUCUAAGUAUGGUUAUUUUGAGUGGUUUGAUGGCAACGAAACUAAAGAAGUGAGCAGUCAAAGAUGAGAAGAUCCGACACAAGUUCAAAAAUCAAAAAGCAUUGGUAGCAGUGUAAUGUCACCUGCCCAAAUACUAAUAAUGAUCAACCUGAGUUUACGAUCUAUAUUCAUUUUCAUUCAGAUUUUAAAGUCUAUUUGAAAUAUGCAUAAAAUUGUAAGAAUGUACCACCAAAAGUUGACCCUUGAUAGUUAGAUAGUGGUAGAACCAGGAGGGCACAAAAUGGCGGAUUUAAAUCCAUCUACAAUGUAUAGUAGGAGUUUAUCUUCCAUGCCUCAAAAUCACAGAUUCUAAAUGUACAAAACACUGCAAACUAAAUAAACUAAAACAAGUCUUAAAUAUAAUAAAUAAUAAGGUCAUACACUUCCAAGUUGACUGAAUACCCAUAAUAAGCAAUUCAAGACCAAAAAAAAAAAAAAAAAAAAUCUCAACAAGGUCAUCCACUUAAUGGCGUCAAAUUGCAUAUAAAAAUAUUAUACUUGGAAGACUUAUUUUUUCCCCAUAUUUCUAAUAUUUUAGGGACUGAUUUUGUGAGGAUAUUUUAGUCAAUUUACUACUGUUGAAUAUGACAUCUGGUCACAUCAAAGUAAAUGGGGAGGAUAGUGUAAUUUUUUAUAUUGAAAGAUAUUUAUGUGUAAUUCUCAUGGAAUUUGAACUCGGGAAAAGCUUCGGACCAUAGGACUAUAAUGAUUGUGAACUCCCCCAAAUGGAGAAAACUUGGGACUCGAUAAACCUAAGCCCCUUUGUAACCAUUUUUUGUAAUUACGAGAACUCAAUUCAAACUUUGGGAUACGCAGUCAAAAUUUUAUUAAUGAGUUUUUACAGAAUAUUUUUAUAUUUUCUUUGACUAUAUUUUUCAAAUACCUUUUUAUUCGUAUAUAUUAAAUCGUUACAUUAUAUUUUUCUACAGAAAAUAUAAAAUAUAGCAAUCCAAUUGAGAUGGGAGUAACUUUUUAUUGGUUCAAUGACAUUUUAGUGUUCAAACUUAUUUAUUUGUGUUAAUGAGUUUGAAAUUAUAUUUAAAUUUGGCUAAUUUGUUUAUUGAGGCAAAUCUAAUUAAGUUUUAUCGAAUCAAAUUCAAGUCUAGCUCGAAUACGUUCGAAUUUUACACCGAUAUAUUGAUGUAGUGAUGUAGUGACAGGCCAAACAUUGUUAGAUUCCUUGCAAAGCUCUAAUGCAUGAUUUGAAUACAAAUUCAUCCCAAACAUAAUCAUAAACCAAACCAUAGGCCACGAUAUAAAUGAAAUCAUAAUCAUAAACCAUAGACCAUAACAUAAAUGAAGAUGUUGUGCUCCAUGGUGUAAAUACAAGUGAGACAGACAGAAUACUUGCACCAUACUGACCUUCGUGGUCAAUUUCUUUUUGCACACUAAUCAUAACAUGAAAAACCAGUCUGUAGGUUGGGGACGAACCCCAUCUACAGUAAAAAAAAAUAUUUCAGAAAAGGUGUUAAAGCACUUUACAGUGAAAAAAUUCAAAAGAAGUGUCGGAACACUCUUUUUGUCUAAUUAAAUUUGUAUAUCUUAUAGGUUCUUUAGGCUCCCAUCCCCUUCCCUCCGGCCCUCAAGUCAUUUCGCUAUUAUGUCAAAGUCAAAGAUGGAAAGAGAUAGAAGAUUUUAGUUACUUUUCAUUAUUGAUAUGUACUGUAAAAGGAAAGGAGGGGGAUUGAAGUUUUUUCUUUAAGAACACAAUUGCAUAAUAAUAAGGAGAUUAACUCAAAUAGAAUUUUACAAAUAAUUUAUAAUAAGAAUGCUAACAUAUAGUUAGACUAAAUUCACAUCAAAUUUUGGACUUUUAAUUUUAGGAAUUUCAAAUAUAUGUUAUUUCCAUCGCUGGAUGAAUGCCUAUUACCAAGACAAAGAAAUUGGUAAAUCUAGAAAAAAUAACAACCAAUAGGAAUUGGGAAAUUUGAAAAUAAUAAUAAUAACCAAAUAGUCCUAGGGUGACAAGAAAUAUAGACCCUAGAAGAGGCAUAGGCAUGAAGGCAUCGUAAUGAUUGGGUUUGAAGGGAAAAAUAAUAAGGGUGCGUUUGAUAAAAUUGAAGUUUGAAAUUUGAAAUCUGAAUUCUGAAUCUAUUAAGUUAUUGAAUUGUUAAGUAUUAAAUCUAAUACAUUUGAGUGCAUAUCACAUUCAGUGAUAAGUGAACAGUUUAUCACUUAAUUUUGGGAGCAAAUUUUGUUUAGAAAAUUCAAUGCCACUUAAUUAAUUCAGAUAUUCAAUUUUUGGUUGUCAAAUGGUCUGAAUACGUUAAGAUCUGAAUCUAUUAAAUUUAAGUGCUGAAUUGUGUUAUCCAACAGGUCUUACAUAUACUGAUAGUGUAUAUGGUUGGAUGCAUGACAUAUAUAAGACUUGGAUUUCAAAUUUUAAAUUUACAUUAAUUGUUAUGCAUCCAAACCUGAGAAUAUAUAUAUAUAUAUAUAUAUAUAUAUAUAUUAUCAGUGUAUGGAAAAUUAAUUUUGAAAAUAAAUAGAACUAUUGCUAAAUCUAAUCCAAAAGAUACUAUAAACAAGACGAUGGACAUAAAAGCACAUAGCAUUCAAGAAUUAUUCAACAAUCAAAGUAGACAACUGGAUAAAUGAUUUUUGUUUUCUUUGAAUAACUUCACCCAUGCCCAAUUUUCUACUGUCUUGUGAAACUAUGUAUAUGGCCUUACAAGUAGGAUUAGCCAUUGAGUAUCUUUAGGCCGAAUGUAUUAUUAUUGAUAAUUGCAAAACUUAUAAUAAAACAAAGAUAUAGUUUAAAAACCUCAAACAAAAUAAGACAAGGUAUCGUUUAAUGAGAUGAGUUAUAAUUUAUAUACCACCCAUAAUCUCACCUUAAAUAUCAUAUGACGAGAAGAGUGUACUUCGCACGAGUUAAGAGGAUACCUCUCAAUUCAACAUAUCCUUAUGGAUCAGGCACGAAGGAGUUUCCAUGUUGCAAUUUCAUUCUGAAAAUACGAAAAUUAGAAACUGAGUUAAGAAUUAUUAGCUAUUUUUGGAGUGAGUGAAUUAAUUUGCCAACUUUCAAAAAAAAAAAAAAAAACAAAUUGCCUCUUCUUCUAGGACCAAUUUGUACAGCUAAACCUUUGGGAUUUAAUGGGAAAAAGAAAACAAAAUGGUUUUUUUUUAAAACCAAUUGUUCUAAUUUUACAUCUAUUCCUUAUUUAGAUAUUGUCCUAUUUUAAGUAUUUUUAUCAUCCUAAAACGAAAUAAAAAAAACAGGUUUCUUUUUGUGCCAAUUUGUUGUUUUAGUACGAGUGAAAAUGAAAAGCAGCCUCAUUUUGGUUUUGUACAAAAGCCCAAUUCGUUUUCCAGCUUUUUGUGAUGAAGGAAGAACAAAAAAAUCAGAGCCCGUCUGGAUUGCUAUUUUCUAGAAUUUUUUUUGUAGAAAUAUUUAUUGUAGCAAUUUGAUAUAUAUAUAUAUAUAUAUAUAUAUAUAUAUAUAUAUAUAUAUAUAAAAGGUAAAAAGGUGAUUAAAAAAUGCAUUCACGACAAACAUAAACAUUUUUUGAAAACAAAUGACAAUCCAAAGCGGGAAUUAAGUAGGAUACUCCAAGGGAACUCCAUCACUGGCCUUCUUCAGGUUCUUAGGUAGCCAUCCACAAUGAUGUACGUCACCCUAUAAUCUAUCCGUUUGGAGCUUCUGUGUUGCAAUGGUAAAAUAGUUAUGUUACAGACACUAUGAGUUUGAAAGCUAUUCUUUCAACACUCCGUGAGGCUCAGCAUAUCUAGUCCAUUUUGCAACUCUACAAAUCUGCUUCGGGACAGGAAAUAAAUUUGGACAAAUCUGCUAUAGUUUUUAGCAGCAAUACUAGCCCAGAGGUGCGGCAUAGGAUAACCAGUUAUCUUGGUAUUAAAGAGGUUAUGGCACAUGACAAAUAUCUUGGCCUCCCAAUAGUUAUUGGGCGCUCAAAAAGUGCAGUUUUCUCAUCAAUAAAAGAUAGAAUAUGGCAAAAGAGACAUGGUUGGAAUGAACAGCGAUUGUCAAAGGCAGGGAAGAAAGUAAUGAUCAAGGCUGGGGUUCAGGCUGUCCCUACAUAUUCUAUGUCUUGUUUCAAAAUACCUUGAUUCAUUGCUCAGUGGCACUCAGUUAAUGAUAAGUAAUUUUUGGUGGGGUGAUGGAAUAAAAGGGAAACCUAUUCAUUGGGUUAGUUGGGAUAAGCUCUGCACAAAUGAGGAUGGGUUUCAGGCAGUUGAAGUUGUUUAAUCUUGCGGUGCUACCAAAGCAGGCUUGGCACAUUGGCACACAAACCUCCACACUUUUACUUCAAAUUUACAAAGCUAAAUACUUCCCUAACUUUGAUUUUUUCCUUCAAGCAACAGAAGGUUCUCUCCCCUCCUGGACUUGGAGAGGGAUCUGUGAAGUUUGCAAAUAUAUAGUAGCAGGCAGCAGAUGGCGAGUCAGGAAUGGAAUCAAUAUCAAAAUUUGGCGUGACAGGUGGUUACCUUGACCUUCAACUUUUAAAGUGAUAUCUCAUUCUGAAUCAUUGCCUGAUGAUUCAACUGUGGAUUCCCUAAUAGACAGUACUAAAAGAGCUUGGAAGUUGGACCUAUUGCAAAACCUUUUUUGGCCUGAUGAGGUUGAUCUGAUUAAGAGUUUCCCAAUAGGAGAUUCUCAAAAUCGGCCUACCAUCUAAUCAAACAACGGUAAACAGAUUGACAAAAUGUAGCUUCGUGCAGCAAUAGUAUGGUGACAAAUACAUGGAAUAGAUUAUGGAAGCUGAGUUUGCCAACAAAAAUCAGAAUUUUUCUGUACAGACACUUGCCGACAAAGGUGAAGCUUCUAACGCGUGGGGUAUCGCUGGAUUCAUCUUGAGUUGUUUGUCAAGCUCCAUUUGAUAACAUGAAUCACACCUUCUUUUCUUGUCCAGUAGUUAUUCAGUCAUGAGCACUCAGCCAUUUGUCUACAAAAAUUCAUUUGGAUACCGCUCAGCAACUUCUUUUCAACAACAAGCCACACAAACUCAUUGGAAAAAUCCUCAAAUGGACUUUGUCAAAGAAAAUUUUGACGGGGCCACUUUUCCUACAGAAGGCUUCCCUGGUACUGGGGUAAUGGUGCAUGAUGAUGCACACAAUUUCAUAGUUGGAUUGUCUAAGAAGAUCCCAGCUAUUUUAGCUCCAAAGGUGAUCGAAACUUAUGCAGCAAAAUUUGCAGCUUGAUUGAAUUAGGGCUGCGUUACGUUGUUCUCGAAGGUGACAUUCAAAAGAUUAUAAAAAUGCGUCAGCAAUGUGAUUCUGAUGAUUCAGCAUGUAGAGGAUUGAUUGAUGGUGCCUUGCAAUUUAUGCAAAAUUUCACCAAGUGGGAAGCUAUAUGGAUACCACAAUCUUUGAAUGGUGCAGCUGAUAGUUUUGCUAGGAAUGCUUGUACAGAUAUGGAUUACUACUUGUGGAAACAUUCACUUCCAUUUUUCGUAUUGUCCGCACUCUAACUAUGUCUUUUUCCAUUUUAAUAAAACUUCAUGCUUUUUUUAUAAAAAAAAAUCGCUAAUAUUUCUAAAUCUAUCACUAUUUUAUCUCUUUAACUUUGAAAUUUGGGUAUUUUCACCUCUUUUUUUCUAGACACGCAAACAAAUUUUUAUGAAACGGCUCAUACAAUAUAAAGUAAUGAUUGUGAGAGUUUUAUAAGUACAUGUAACUUUUGAAAUUAUAGUGUCUAUUAUGCUACUAGAAUCCAUUGCAAUAUUAGCUAUAAUUUUCCUCUCUCUCUCUCUCUCUCUCUAUUUGAGGGGUUUGCUUAAGAAACAAAAAGUUGUCAAGAUAUCUUGGAGCUAAUUAAUUUAGCAUUUAAUCGUCCUACAAAUGUAUGUUCAAUAUCUAAUUUAUACACAUCUUCAAGUUUUGGAACAACAUUUUGUACUUGGUAUAGUUAACAAGUGUCGUAAUAAAUGGAUGCAAAUUGGAAUUUUUUUGGGACUUCCUCAACUGCAAUUGCUGAACCCCCUUGUUUACCCUCUUUCAUCAAAAUUUACAACUUCCCACCACAGCAGAUGAAAGGGGAACUGUCAAAUCGUCAUCAAGUUUUGUGCUGAUAGGGUCAGAUUCCACCAAUCCAGCAACAACUGACACUACAGAGAACUUGUAUGAUAUUUCCCAACUUCCCUCAGUGUACACAAACCUCAAGAAUAGUGCAUGUACCUAUUAUAGUAACCUUUUCCUCAGGCAAAGCACAAAUUGCCAGAUGGAUGCUAAGAAACUAGCUGCUACUAUUAUAGUAACCUUUUCCUCAGGCAAAGGAUUUGUUUUUAUUGUAUGAUAAUUUCCAAGCUGCCAAACCGCAUCCCCACAAUAGCAGCUAUACCUGGAAUAUGAUAAGAAUACAAAUCCUUAAAACUUGCCAAUUUUGUGUAAAAAGUUUGAAACAUAAAUUAUGAGAGUUGAGCAACAGACAGUUCUUGUUUCUCCUGUGAAAAAAAAAAAGAAAAAAAGAAUGCGUGGAGCAAUAACAAUGAUUUGAUUGAGUAAAAUAACUUAAGAUAUCAAGAAAGGAUAAAAUGGAUCCGGUUAGUCAUUUAUCAAAGGUUGCAGACCGCUGCAAUAGCCACCGGAGAAGUUCUCCAAUAGAGAGCACAAAGUUAGCGUGAUUGUGGUUAGAUAACACAGCAUUUUCUUAUCAAAUCCUUCAUCAAAUCUCUCAUUUCAAACGAAGUCUUGAGGAAUAUCCUGAUGUACCAAGCCAAGCAGAGUACAAGAACCAGUUCAAGGUGUAGAGAUACAGAUAAUUAAACAAUCGGUUGAGGAGAAAUUACGUAGCUCCUUUUAGGAUAAGGGAAAUUUUUUUAAGAAGUGGUCAUCUUCCCAAUUUUUUUCAUGACAUUACUGCAUCAAUUAAGCAAUAUGGUCUGACAAGUGGACCGGAUUACUUAGCUCGACUGGUUCAGCCAAGUAUCUAUUAGUUUGUCCGGCUUAAUUAUUGAGUGAGUCAAACUUGAUCAUGAUUUGGUUCAAUUUAGUGAAAACGAAUAAAGUUGCAUUGCUUUCUCAUUUUGCCGCUUAUUAUAUUAUUUUUGAUAGAGUUGUUUUUACCUUUACUGUUUUCUAACACUUGAUUCUGCUUGAUAUGAGUCAACAAAUGUUAUAAACAUGUGAAUCCAAUUUAAUUUAUGUUAGAACCACUUACUUAUGUACUUUUUUUUCAUAGUUUUCGUAAAAAUAUAUAAAAAAAAAGGUAUAACCAUUUGACUUAGUUGGUUGAACCAAUUAAACCAAUGAACCAUGAAAAAAUCAUUGCUUAAUAUAGAGCUGUGACAUUUGAUCAAUCAUCCUUGCAGCCAAGUUUUCAAGGAUAGAGUCAGUCUGCCUUUUUCACCUUACACAAUCAGAGUUGUAUUGCAUGAUUUCGGAUGAUUCUAUUAUGGUUUAGAUUCAAGUUUCUAUCAGAGUCGUAAUUCAAGCUCAAUCUCGAAUGAUUUUGCCAUAGUUUAGAUUCAAGUUUCUAUUAGAGUUAUAUUUUGAAAGGGUUAAAAAUAAAAAAGCCCUUGUGAUAUACCUAAUUAACAGAAAAGCUUUCUAUGAUUUCAAAACAUUCAAAACGGCACUUCAUAUUUUGAACUAAAUUGUAAACUAACAGAAUUCAUUAAACUUAACGAAAAUGACGAUUUAGACCGUUAAACUUAACGGAUUCCGUUAAGUUUAUCGUUAAAUUUAUCGAUAAGUUUGGGGAAAUACUUUAUGUAUUUCACACUAGUUACAAUGGUAUAUAAUCUAUCUAUAGGCUUACAACAUGAUAAGAUAACAAAAAUAAAAUGAUAAUUAAUCUAUUCUAUUUCUAUCAAUGAUAAAUAAUCCAUUUUAUGAUCAUCAUCAGAUCUCUCAUUGAUAUACAAUUUAAAAUUUAAAAAUAGAUAUCUAUAACUCACUCAAACACAGUACAAAGGUUGCAUAUUGCUGAAAUUGCCAUGGGUGAAGUUCUCUAAUGAAAAGCACAUGCUAAGGUGGCUGUGGUAAGGUAGCGUAUUGAUCCUUUGAGAAUCUCCCUGAUGCAACGAUGAGCCAAGCACGAUUUGAGAAGCUAGUCGAAAGAUGUAGAAAAAUUAUUAAUUGGUGAAAAACAGCAUAGAAAAAUUGUUUGAUGAGUUUUCAUACAAUUAAUUUUCAUUGGCGGUAUUACUGCCUAAUGUAGAUUUAUAGUAGUGUUUUGAAAACGUGAUCAAAUCAGAUUGUCUCUAGUGUUUUUUUUUUUAACCAUCAUGGCUGGUACUCAAAAGCUGCACAAAAUGCCCUAAUUAAUCGUGUUUACCAUCAUGGCUGGUACUCAAAAGUGCUAUAAUGGUCCUCUGUACAAGCUUUAAAUAAAUUAUAACGUGUUAGUCCGAUAUAUUCAAAUGGUUAAAAAUCUUUAACUCAACUUUGAAAAUGUGGUCCUCAUUUUAGAACAAGGGUUUUAUCCAAAUCUUUUUUCCCAAAAAUUAAAAAAAAAAUUACCAUGGCUGGGUGGUAAACAUUUCACUGCUCCACAUUCAAUCAAGAGUUACACUGAUCAAGUGCUAAGGUAGAAAGAAGAAACUAAAUUGCUGAAAAUUAGAGGGGGGUUGGGGGGGGGUGUUGUUGGAAUUGAGCAGUAUUCCAAUAAAAGAUUUCUUGUUAUUUCUCUACACAUUUUCUUCAAUUGUAGAGAGGACAAUGCAAAAAAAAUCUCCAACAAUUGGCUUCUUGGCUAUGCCCAUUUUCUUGGAAAUUCUUGGUGCUUUUGAUAUAUUCAAGAAACCAUAGCUGAAUUUAUAUAAGAUCCGAGUUGAAGUAGAGUGUUGCCCUUAGUUGUACAAUUAGUAGGAUUGGUAAAAUGUCCAUUCAUUCUUGGUUCAAAAACUUUCUAGUUUGGGAAAGCUUUUGGAAAAGAAUUAAUAUGCGCAUAGUACUACAAACUUUCUAGCUGAAUUUAUAACACAUCCCACUUUAUUUUGUUCCUAGAUCAAAAUACUAAUAGAGGCUUGGCAACUAAUAGGAUUUAUGAAAUAGUUGUACCAAGAUAGGGCUGUUAAAUUCAAUAAAGAAUACACGGCAAUAAGAAGUGGCACAAAAAAUGAGAUAGGGAGUAAAACAGAAAAUCCUUAGCAUGCUCUUCUUUCUUUCUUUGUUUUUUUCAACAUGUUUGAACCGAUUUCAUUUAUUUGGGUUAAGUUUUUCACUUAUUAAGUUAGUAUUAGCAAGAGGAUAGGUUAUAAAAGUACUUUGUUUCGUGUAAUUUUAGAACAACAAAAUUUAUAAUGUGUUACUAGAUUAUUGCCUUAUGUUAAUUUGUUUGCUAAAAUCAAGAUAAAAAGCCAAUCUUAGAAUUUUAUUUAUAAGACGACAAAGAGUCCAUAAUAGCAAAAUUAAUACAAAUGAAUCACAACUCUUAUCCACCCACAAAUGGUAGAAAUUUAUAACUAGCCCAAAGCUGAUGGACUUGGUCAUCAAACUUUUUAAUUUAUAUAGCUCAAGUGAAAUGAUAAACCAACUUUUGUUGCCGAUUCUCUCUCUUUUUUUUUUUUUUUGGAGAAACAGAGGUAAAUAAUUAGUAAACAGAGGUAUAUAUAAUAUAUGUGCUAAAUGUUAUUCAUCCUUUAUAAGUCCAAUAAAACAAAGAAAAAAUCAGCAAUGUGAAUUUGUGUUAUGUUCCAAAUCCUUGUACUAUAUAAGAAUGAGUUUGGGUCAAAGAAUGGCUUUGAAUUUCAACCACAAGAGUAGGGGUAUUUUGGGAUCGUGAGGUUGUUUUGAAUGUAGUUAUAGUAUUGGGUACUACUUUAGAUAGCAUGUGUAUUAUUGUAUUUACUGAAAUGUCCUUGUAUUCUAAAAGAUGCAGUGAUGAUUUGUUCAAAGGUUUGGGUAGUUUGGGAAUGUGAGAUUAUUUGAUCAUCUUUUCUACAAUGGGUACAACCCAUGAAUAGCUUCUUUAUUGGUGUAAUUACUUCAAUGUCUUUGCAGAGACAUUCAUUUUGGUUUGUAUCAAUUAUUACUGUUACUUUGCUAUUAUAACUUGAAGAACUUCAAACGUCAUUUUCAUCUCAAUUAAAGUAAGGACAAGGUGGUUUAUUAAGGAAUUUAUGAUUAAGCAUUAGUUUCAAUUUCAAUUCUUCAAAUAUUUGCCCCUUUACAUUCUUCCGUUAUGUUCCUUUCGUCUUCCGAUAAAUACUUAUUUGUAUUGUCAUUAUACUCUGGAUUUCAAUAUGGUUCUCUGGUGAAGUUAUUCUUGGUGGUUUAACUUGAGGUGAGGUUUCAUUCUUUUUUUUAAUGGUAUGAUUUGCUUUGUAAAAUCGUAAUUUCUAUUGUUAGCUAAAUGUUUUCAUUCCAAAAUUGGAUACUCUGUUAGCGCAAUUUAAUGUUGAUAUUAUUGUUUCCCCACAAAAUUGGUUGUUCUAUACAAUUUAAAUGAUGUGAUUUUGUUGGAAUAGGUUUGGAGAUACAAAACUUUCUCUUUUGGUCUACUUACAUUGUGGAGGCUUUUUGAUCAAAUCUGCCUUCUCUCUUACAUAUCACGCGCACCUUAAUGUAGUAGUUGCAGAAGCUAGUAUUGUAGCAGUUUCAAUUAAUUAUCGGCUCGCCCUUGAGCAUCCUUUGCCUAUUGCUUAUGAAGAUUCUUAGAUUGCAGUCAAAUGGGUUGCCCAUCGUUCAAAUGGCGAGGGUCCUGAGGUAUGGCUUAGGAAUUAUGCUAGCUUUGAUAGGGUGUUUUUUGGUGGGGAUAGUGCUGGUGGCAAUUUAGCACAUAACAUAGCAUCAAGAGUUUGGCUGGAGAUACUAGACGGCUUCGAUCUAGAUGUGAUUUUUCUCAAUUAUCCUUAUUUUUUGGGAAAAGAUCUAAUUAGUAUAGAGUUAAUGAAAUUACAGGUAAAGGCCUAUGUUAAGGGCAUUUGGCAUUAUGUUCACCCAAAAUCUACGGGGGUUGAUGAUCCAUUGCUGAAUCCUCGGAUGGAACCAAACCUUUUGAGGCUAGGCUUUGUCGUUGCUAAAAAGGUUGGCUAAUUUCAUCAACAAGAAUGUUGUGUAGAUACAUUUUUAAGUGGAUAAUUACUUUGUUUAUUGCCAUUAAUCAUUUGGAUAUUUGUUUAAAGUUUAUUUAGUUUUGUUAAUGAAAAUCUCCUAUACAAGUGUUUGUUUCAAAAUAUAUGAACUGAGCAAGAUAGCAUGCAUAAUUUUUUUCUCCAUCUUCCAGUAUAAAUUAGAUAUUUUGUUACUUCAUAUUGUUACUCAAUAUACGCGAGUUUUUUAAUAUUUGCUUGAACUACUAUAAAAUCUUCUUCAACCACAGGCACCAAAUACCCGUGCGAUGCGCGGGCAUUUCCCUCCUAGUAUUUAAAAAUGUGUCUGACAUGAUGUUUGGGUGAACCACAUAAAUCAAGUACCCCUAAAACAGGUAAGUAAUGUAGAUGUGGGCACUUGGACUUGACAAAUACUUAAUGUACAUAUGAGCACUUGGAUUUGACAAUUAACAAUUGACCCAAUUUAGAAGCUAACUUGAUAAUUUGCUUGAAUUCCAUUGUCAAUUUUCAAGUCACAAAUCGAGAGGGUGACAAUUAACUUGGUCAGUUUUCAAUUGUCAAAUUACUGUCAAGUGUAGUAGCUAAAUUUUUUUGUCGUUGAACUAGCUAAAGCGCUAUUGGGCCUUUGGCCCGGUGGUCGGGAGGUCAAGGGUUCGUCCCUUGACUCCCACCAAAAAUUUGACUCCCACCAAAAAUUUGUUACAAUAUGUGACGGUCUUAAUUGGUCAUUUUCGAUAGAGUUUCUACUCACAUCGAGUCUCUUUUUCCCUCCUCCUAGAUUAGAUUAGAUUAGAUUAUAGGAAUUCUAUCGUUGUGACAAAAAAAAAAAAAUUCCAUGCUUCCUUCCGACGCAUCUUCAAUUAUCAAGCUUAUUAAUGAAAAGGAAGACUUUUUAUUCAUUUUGGGCACAAUAAUUGAAGAUUUUCAUUUGGCUUUAUUAGAUCAGUACAUUGUCAAUGUACUUCGGAUUUCAAGAGAGGCAAAUAAGGUUGCACACUGUUUAGCUCAUCAUGCAAAAACUCUUUAACUUUUUUUCAAUUUGAUCCACUAAAUGAGUUUAACUCGAGUUGACCCCGAAUUGAAGCAUAUACUAGAGGUCAAGUAAAGUUUUGUUCAUGGACAACUUGAUUUAGCAUAUAGUAGGAUAAACUUGUAUUUUUAGUUUUUUACUUGAAUGCGAUCUUUUUUCUUAGCCUAAAUAUUGAUAUUAAUUAUGGAACUUAUUCAUUUAUUGGGCUAGGAGAAUCCAAUGUUUAAUCUAAUUCAUUUAUUUUUGAAUCGGAGAUGAUACAAUAUGCCUAUAUAUAAAUUAUUUGUUAUUUUUUUAAAGGACAAAAAGGUGUACAAUUGAUGUUCACGUUACAUGUCCAAUAAAACAACCGACAAACGAAGCAAGAUGAUAUUGUGACAUGUGUGCUAUGGGUUCACGGAGCACUGUGCUCUGUACAAUCUAAAUUGUAAUAGUUAACCUCCUACGUUUUUGUUUUGAAAUGGGUAAUUGGGCAAGUAAUAAUUCUAUCUUUCUCCUGACUAGAGCUAUAAACGAGUCGAAUCGAACCGAGUAUCUCAUGUUUGAACUUUGUUCAUUAAAUGAUUCGAAUAACAUUCGUGUCAUUCGUUAAUUUUCGAACUCCAAACCUGUGUUCGUGUUCUACUCGUUAAGCAAAAUUUAUGUUCGAGUUCGAAUUCGUGUUCGGAUCAUUUAACAUAAACGAGCCGUUCACGAAUAUGCUCGAAAUGCUUGAAUUCAAAUUAUUUUAAACCUUAAAUAUGCGAUACAAAUCAUUAAUCAUUCUAAAAAACAAUUAAAGUACUAAGUGACUAAAUUCUAUUAUUCAUUAACAAUAUAACUAAUAUUAACAUAAAAAUAACAAAUAAAACCCUCCAAAUAAUAGUCUAGCCAUAAAAUUAACCCUAAAAUUUGUCAAAUGAUAAUUAUGUCCAUGUUCGCGAACGUUCGUUAAAACUCGCGAACAUGCUCGUGUUCGCUCGAUUAUUCACCGAACAAAAAAAUUCGUUCGAACUCAAUUCGUUUAAAGUUUCGAACGAGUUUUUCACGAACACGAACGUGACGAAACGAAUUGAGCUAUCGAACAGUUCGGUUCAUUUAACAGCUCUACUUCUGUCUCUAAAAUUCAUUCUCUCUUUUUUUUUUUUUUAAAAAAAAAUCUUUUUCUUUUGUACUUUUCUUUUAUUUUUUUACCCUCUCGCGCCCUUCCCCCCACACUAUUUCUUGUCAGAUAUAAGAUUUGAAUUUUAAACCUAAUAGCGGCUAGAAUUUUGAAAACCCUUCCCUAACCAACCACUGGGGGGAGGGGGGUGAGAACUUUGAGAACACUCUCCUAACCAUUAGAUCAACUCUAAUGAUUCAUUCUCUUUUUCUUCUCUCUAAAAUUCCCCUAACCAAAUUCUUGUUUAAUUCACCAUGAGAGAGACCAGAUAAUCCGGUCUUUCCCCGGGAGAAAGAGUCACUUCCCUGGUUUUAUUUUUAUUUUUUUACUAAUCUCAGAAGUCAAAUCCAAAUUUUUCUUUGAAUGUGAAGGAAUUUUUACUAUUAGAAGACAUGCAUGCAGAUAGAUUUGUUGUUUCACUUGAUUUUAUUUGUGCCAAAUUGAUUUCAGAUCGAUCUAUAUAUAUCAUAUUUAAUGUACUUACCGCUAUGAGUGCAAAUAUUUUAUCCAAAAAAAAAAAAAGGUAUUUGGACGAACCGAACGGAUAAAAUCCCCCUAAAACAAAUCAUAAAUUAGACCGAGUAAAUUGUCUCCGUUUAGAAGCAAUUUACUCGGUCAAUUGUCAAUUGUCAAUGGCCAAUUGCCAAUUUACUUGGUUCAAUUAUUGGUCAAGGAGUCAAUUUUCCGCCGUCAAUUCAUUGGUCAAUUGGAGAGCCGUAAACGAUCCGAAGUAAGGCGGAAUACGUGUUCCAUGUUUGAACUGUUCAUUUCCAUUAAAAGCUUGUUUUUGUUUUAAAGAAGUUCAACGUGAAACUCGAGUUAAUAAAAAAAAGAAGAAGUGAUACUCGAGUUUGAACUGACAUUUUUUUUUUAACAAAAAUAAGCUUAAUUUUUUUUUAAAAAAUAGCUUUUUAGCAUUUUUUUGGUAAAAAAAAAAGCCCUUGUUUGAGUUGAAUUUUUUUUCAUGAAAUUUUUUUUUGAAUUUUUUGCAAAUAUUCCCUCUAUAUAUUUUUUUAAUUACUUUUUUUACCUCGCAUAUGCCACAUCUUAAAAACCAGCUAUAAAAAAUGCAAUCUGAACUAAUCACAAAUAAAUGAGAAAUGCCACCAUGAGGCAAUAUUUUGUGUACCUCCUUGUUCAAUAGCCACGCAAUCAUUCACCAAAAGGCGUGUGUUCGUUCAUUUAAAUUCAUUAGUUAAGCUUUUAUGUGGUGUUUCAACUCAAUUGGUUCAAUCGACCGAAAAAGCCGAAUUCUGAGUUGGUCAGUUUAAGCAUCAAUUUUGAAUUAAAAUCAGUUGGAUAACAGAUCUAAGAGAAUAAACAUGCGCAGAUAGUUAUGAAGUAGCUCGUGUAAUUCAUUAGAUGUUAUGGUCUGUGAUCAACAGUGUAAUAUUUUAUAUUUCGUAACUCUGUUAAAUCUAAUGAUUUUUCAAAUCAAAUAUAUGUGUGACAUAUUUUAUAUAUUUUCUGCCAUUAGUGUAGAGUUCUUUGUCAAACAAAUCAUAUUGGACGAUUUUUCACUAGUUUAUUAAUAAUAUUGACUUUUGUUCUAUUUUAAAAAAAAGUAUCUAUAUUCAAUUGAAAUUCAAAGAGAUUGGAUAUAGAGUAUGUAUGGAUUGGACUACUUUUGACAUGCACAUUUUUUAUUGUGAAAUUUACAGUAAUACAUUCUAAAAACACUCUAUAAUAUAUACUCAAAAUGUUUUAAAUACACCUAAUAAAAAUACAAAAAAGAAUUAAAAAUACCAAAUCCUACCCUCUCUUUCUUCUUUCACUCAUCACCCACCAUUGCCAUCAUCGCACCCUCUCCCCUCUCCUCCCUCUUCCUCUUCACCUUCCUAAUUCCUUCGCUAGGAAAGGGAGAGGGAAAGACUAACAAAGGAAGGAGGAAGGCGAACGGGAAAAGGGAGGACAGAGAGGAGGGGAGAGAGAUGGUGAUGUGUGAAGGUGGUGAUGUGUGGCGGUGGCGGCAGUGGCAAGGAAAGUUAAAAAUUUUUUGAAAACAUUCUAAUAAAAUUUAAAAAUUUAAAAAUAUCCCAACAAAUAAUUAUAAUGACAAGUUUUUCUCAUGUAGUGCUACAGUAUCAUUUUUAAAAAAGAAUUAAUCCAUAAGGAGUAAUAGAUUUAAAGGAUUGCCAUCUAAAAGGUGGAUCUCAAAGAAGUUAGAUGAAGCACAUAAAGCAACACAUAUCCAUUUACGAAGAACCAUUUCAAUUUUCCAAAAUCAAUUGUUUGGACCAACAAAACAAUUUUUCAAAUUUAACACACUAUUGUCUCUCUGCCAAAUAUUUUGACUAAAAUUUUGCCUGAAGUAAGGGGUUAACUUCACUUGUACCCUUCGAUUAUACUUCACUUUGAUCUUUAAUCUUUAAAGUGGGACUAAUUUAAUCCUUGAAGUAUAAAUCUAUCCAACUUAGUAUCUGCUGAACAUCAUCUUGAAAUAAAACAUAGCCCAUCAAUUUCUUCUGCAAACUUGAACUUUACCAUUGCCAACAUCAGGUUCAAAAUGCACCCAAUGGAAGUCUUAUAUCCGUCAUAAAAAAAAAAAAAAAAAUUUUAACGUAUGUUCUAUAGCAGGAUAGGCAUUUAGAAGCUUUAUGGUCUAAAUACUCCAAGCUUGCAUUUAACAAACUCCGUGGAUGGCAUCAAGGAUUGUUAUUUUUCCCUUUUUUGGGUAUAAGAAAAAUGCUUUCUGUGUCGAAGGAUGAUGGUCUAACUUCAAAUUUGAUGCAAGACAACACUGGCAUCACAAUUGGAUCAGAAUAAUGUUAAAUCAACUAAAACUUGAAAAGCCUCUCUUGCUUGAAUUGACAAUAAGCUUAUCAGUUAAUUCGACUGGUGAAAUGGAAGCCAGAGUCAUAAGGUGGCUUAAAGGAUCGAUAUCCCGGCAAGUGGGAAUUAUCAGUAUUUUGCAAGGCCAUUGAAUGGAAGGGGGUUACAGAAGGUGCUUGUUCUGCUGAAACCCGUGCUUCUGAAAUCAGAUGCCAGUUUUGCGAUUCCAGUUGCGAUGCUGGCUGUGGUAUGCUGACACUUCCUUGCAUAAGCUGCUCCAGAGAGGCAGAUUCAGGCUCAUGCAAUGCCCAACUUGGAGUUGACAGAAGAGAGAGAGCACAUGGCAAAUUUUGCGAUUCAUUCAAGUGAGAUUGAGCAUGUCCAGGAGACACAUCCACUCCUACAAGCAUUCAACAGGCAAUGAGGAGUCCAAUCAUGUAUUAGAAGACACAAACAGCAACAGGUAAAAUAUACUCAGUACAAGAAGUUACUGUAGUUUGUUUUGUUUUGUUUUUCUAAAUAAUCUCAGUGAUAGGAUUAUUCUCUGAUGAAAAAGACAAGCCACUGAGCAUACUUCUUUAUUCAAGUCUGUUAUGAUUUUUGUUUGUUUUGGUUUUAUGCCACAUGAAUAGCAAAUUCUAGUAAAUUGAUGAAAAUUGCGAGCUUCAAUGAAGUGUAAACUUAAAAGGUUGUAAAAUAUCAGCCUGGAAGGGUUACAAGAAACUCCCUCACGGUAGAAGAUGGAUCAUUCAAAGAAAGGGGAAAGAUUCAACAGAAGCAUUAAUAGACUCCAUGUAGAUAACCGGGCUAGAUGUACUGAAAAACGUGUAGAAAACAAGGGUAAACUGGACCUUUGGAUUCAAUCCCAUCUGUGUAACAAAGCGUUCUUGGACCUAGGUGUCUGGGAUUGGCUAAGCUGAGUUCAAAGUAUGAGCUAACUUGUAUGUUUCCAAUGCUGCAAUAUUUCUGAUGUUGCUUCUUUAACUGUGAUACUCAAUAAAUUUGGCAAUGCUUGCAACAGAAAAAAGUUUUCAAUAUGAGCUCUUCAAUCAGAUGCAUAGAAAGGUAGAUAUGAUGUUACUGUCUAAAAACUACGACUUCAAUUGGUUUCGCAAAGGCGGUGGAACUCACCUUAAGUUUGCUUAAGUGAGUGUAUUAAUCAGAGUUCUUAUGCAUCUCUAGUUGGAAAUAGGAGGAGACAUUUUUUUCAUCAGGUAUUAAAGGAGCUGAGCUUUGAAAAGAACAAGGGCGGGGCAAUCCUCGUCCAGGUCCUGGUGAGAAAUGGCAUUUGGAACCCCCAUAAGAAAAUAUUGCUUCCUAUCAACAUUACCUGAAGCCCUGAUCAGGGAAUUUCCUGCAUUUGCCAUCUUCAAGCCGCUAGAACACUCCCAUGUUCUAUUUGAUGAUGAGGAUGGCAUCCUGCUCAACAGAAAACUCGGUGCUCUCCUUCCUGUGCAGGUCCAGAGUAAAGAGAAUACAAGGCAUUUCAAAAUUUCAUGUUUCAGUUUCAGUGGAUGAAAUGUUAGAUAAGCAAAUUACAAUAAUCAGAGCAGCAGAAAGCCAGCAUGAAAAAUCCUCAAGAGUUUGAGAAGUCACCAUAUAAAGAAGAUGGAAGUCCCAUUGAGCUUAGAUGCAUUGCAUCUGGCUGUGGCCUGCGCCGCCUGGCAUUGUGAUCAGAGAGUCGCCUACGACAGCUUCUCUUUUUAUCAUCAAAUUCCGAUAAAUUAUGGAACCUUUAAAAUUAGAAGCCAAAUUAUGCUGUUGACAUCCUUAAAAUUUGACCUAACAGUAUCUAAAAGUUAAAAAAAAAAAAAAAACAACUGAAUGAACAACACAAAAACAUUGGUAGAUAAUAUGAAUGCAAGUAACUAACCUGCUGCACUGUUGGCAAAACCUUCGCUCGACCCCAGCCACAAUGACCUUGGGGCUUUUGGAAUGGCUUUCGCAGAUUCUGUGGCGGCGAUGAUAAUCUUUAGCUGCUGUAAGGUCAAGGUUGCAUCCCUCCACUUGGCAGCGACUAGUUUGCAUGCCUUGAUGGGACGCUCUAGAUCUCUUUCCACUAUUGGAAGACAAACUGGAAUUAGUUAUAGAGCUCAGAUGCUUGGAGUCCUUUGGCAUUCCAAGUUUCAGGCCAACUACUGGUUGAUCAAAGCCAAGAGAAGCUGCAGGUGCUGAAUAACUUUCACCUUUCUCCACCCCGAUGAAAUCUUCUUCCUUUCUAUUUUCAUUAGGCCAAGAGUUAACUGUCCCAAAAUAGUCUCUGUCUAGUUCAGUUGCCUUUCCACCGUCCAUGGCAGAAUCCUGCGAAUGCAUUGAUGCGGGGUACUUUGUCAGUUCAAACUCCAUCACAGAGCAUGAUUACCAUAUAAGUAGUCCAUCUUCAUCUUAGCAGAAUAUCCAAAAAAAAAGUUGCUGUCCUCGAUUACCCGAUCUUCAUCAAUUCAAGAAAGAUUAGAACAGAUUCAGCUCUUGAUAUCAGAGUGUGAUGUGAUGAUUUCAGUUCCUUUUUGGCAGUGACACAGCGCUUGAACGGAUGCAACCAUAGAACAUGGGCUUGCCUAUAGGGAAAAGAGUGUCAUGGGGCUAUAAGGUAGUUAUAAUAACUGGAUCAAUUAGAGCUAGAGAAAGAACUGCCAAAAAAGAGAACUGAUUCAACACAAGAAAUUCCCUGGUUAAGGGGCAAUUUUAAGUCGUCCUAGCAACAAAAUGUAGGGUGGCUAAGGCUUAGGUAGUUGUGUUGGUGCUCCCUUCAGGAAAACAUGCUAGUAGAUAGAUUGCUGCCAGGGCCUAGAGGAGACCCACUCACCUUAAACUCCAACCAAGGCAACAGAGACAGGUUAAAGAAUCAAGCUAAACAACAGCGAGAGGGGUACCAUACCACCUUUAUAAAUCGUCACUUUCGGUCCAUUAGCCUUUUGGCAGUCCAAAAUUUUUCUCUUGUAGCUAGCAGAAUCAAUCACCAAGUUUGGAAUUGAAUUCGUCAGGUUCCCAUGUGGGUUCCUCCCUUUUUCCGUUUUGGUGAAGACAAAAAAUGCUUAGCACAUGCAUUGGAAGACAUGGUCCCUGAAGCAUUCAUACAAAUUAAUUCACAAAAAAGAUUCACCAUGCAUCCCUAUUUUUUUACUGUAAUAAAGGAACAGUCGUAUGUAAAAAUUGACUUCACUCUGUGAUUUCAUCAUCGUGUAAAAUAAAAGGGUUGUUCUUUCUUGUGUAGCUUAAUUGAUUUUCUCCAUACUGUAUGUAACACUUUAGAAUGUGAAUACAACCCUUUGUUUUGCGCAAAGUCUAGAACUAGCCUAAAACUCUGACUUGCUUCAACUCUUGGAGUAGCUGCAGUCAAGAAUUUCAACUUAAUUCAAGGCUUAUGAUUUGCAUAUAUGCAAUCCAAAAUGUUAUCUGAAAUUUAGCCUCCAUGGCAUCAAUUGGGGUUCCUGACUUUUCUUCCAUGAGCCGAGACAGGCAAGAAAAUAUCUUAGUUGCUGGUAGUGGUAGCAAGAAAGUUAGCCUAGAAGUAUUCCUUGGCCAAUGAACAUUCUUACAAAGUCUAGCUGUCCAAUCUCUCUCCAAUAAUUUCAGAGAAAUCUUACUCCUUCAUCUUUCUGCCAAAUAGGAAACUCUGCUACACCCAUUAAUAAGCUCUCAAUAAGGUUGGUGCAGGAGCAUUAAUCCCUGCAAUUUCAUUGUCAACUACUAUAUUGUGCAAUCAAUCAAAACUCUCUUUCUUCAAUGUUGAUGGGUGACCUCACCAAUGUUCCAAGACUCACGACGCUUUUUUGAGGAAAUCCAAAAUGAAUUCUACACAGUUGAUGCAGGAACCAGUACAGCCACAAAAGCUGCGUGUGGCAUUCAGCAAAGCGCAAGUCAUUUUGAACUGUUGUGUUGUGCUUUUUAUCGGAUGCCAAUUCAAUCAUUCACCAGUUGUGAAAGAAGCUCUUGGCCCUCGCAGUAAAUGCUCUGAAAAGGGUUUAGCAUUUUUCGUACAAAAACAUGCUUAGAACUAAUCCAGAUUGUGAACGCUCCUCCUCCCCGUGGUCGUCUAAAUCACACAUAACCUAUUACUAUUGUGUAAAUAUCCGCACUAACAAUUAUUAUUUUUUCUUACAUUUAUACGCUUUUCUGAUAUAAAUUCGUGUUUUCUACAAAUUUACUCUCGAAAUCAAUUUUAACAGGUGCCCAGAGGACGCUCAAGCGUUGAACAGACUCGUUUAUCAAUCUGGCGCACCUAACCUUUCCUAUAAAUAUCUUUGGCAUCAUUGUCGUUUCAUAUUAGGUAGCAUUUUGGAAACAACCAAAGAUAGAAUCAGAAUUACUCGCCCAAAUAGCAUGUGAAGAAUGCAAACUAUAAUAAUGUUUCGUGUUUUAUCACUUCAUUGUGUGUCAAACUGUCAUAUCAUAUGGAUUAUGAUGAACAAAUUGCUUCUUGGAAGUGGUUGCAAUAAAAGUAAAUAACUGGACCGGACAAAAGCUGUAGAUCCUCUUGUCUUUACUUAUUUGGAAGCAAUAAUUCAAUAGCAGCAGAUUGUAGUUGCCGACGUAAAUAACCAAAAACAGCAGUAACUAACUAGUAACUAGGACACAGUCACUUAAGAAACAGCUCUAAAUUAUGCACAUCAAUAAUUCAACAAUUGACAAAAGAAGGGUAUUUUUCAGCACUGCCAAGUUGUACCCAAAUGAGUAAUCAAAAGUAAGCGCCAAAUCUGUAUUCCCUAAUUGUGAGCACUCAAACUGGCGGAUGCUGAUUAAUUUUCGACAUUCCAAAUUCGACACUAUAUAUAUUAGUACUCUGAGUUAUCCAUGAUUAGAAAAUUGUCAAAUGUUAUAACAUCUAGCUUGCAACACCGUUUAUGAAAAUGUUAAGAAGGGAAAAAGGAUCAUUGAUGUUCAAGGCUGAUGAUCUAGCCCCUUGACACAGAUAUUUGAUGUCCUCACACAAAUGUAAUCUCACUUUUACACGAGUCCUUUUUCCUAUUGAAAAGAAUCAAUGGCAGUUUCCAACGUCUUCCUCUUAACGAUUCAAAUCUCUAACGUACCGAUUACCAGUAAAUCGUUUUAUCAACUAGAUCACGAUUUGUCGUCGUUUUUACUAAAAUCUUGAAAUUCUUAUAAUCUUUCCCAGGCUAAGAGACCAUAGAUUGAUUCUAUCAUACCACCUAUGGCUAUAAUCGAGCCAACUUGAAGGAUGGUGCAAUAUCAUGUAAUUUGUGGGCAUGAUUUUGGUACAACAUUAUUGUAAUCCGAAUCCCAUGCAUUUUCCUCGUGGGAAAAUCAAAAUAUAUAGCUGCAUCAGAAUUUGAUUGUCUUGUCUACAGCACAGACCGACAAGUACCUUUGUCACCACAAGUAAUAUCUACGUCGUUCUCAUCCUCUGCUGAAUUUAAAGAUGUACAUAGGAGCUACAGCUUGGGCAGACUCUUGGAAUUGAAGCACCCAAAUAGGUCCCCAGUGGCAAUAGUUGGGUUUGAUGUCAAGAAUUACUCCCUAGAAUUCAGUUGGACAAAUUCCAACCACACUUUUCCUCACAACCUAUGCAGAGCCAAAACUGUUGCAGUUUGAAGGACCAUUCUCUCUACCACACCAAUCAAUGCGCGUAUUCAACAAAAGCGGAGGCCGCUCUUUUCACUGGAGACUACAUGCCAGAAUUAUUAAAAAUAGAGCAUGUCAAAGUCACAUCAACAAGUAUAUAUAUAUAUAUAUAUAUAUAUAGGGCAUGUCAAAGUCACAUCACCAAGUUUAUAUAUAUAUAUAUAUAUAUAUCGAAUAAAUCUUAUACACGUCAAUUGGCUGGAUGGUCUUGAUUUGUGAGCUCCACUUUAGAUUGUGCUUUGCACCGGAAUUUUUUGAUUACCUCUGAGUGUUAAUCUAACUUUGUUGUGUUGUUUCCAGUAAUUUCGAUUGUUGAAAAAAAUAAAUCUUAUACACAUUGAUAGCAUAUACAUUAUUGCCGUUAAAUCUAUGACAUAUAUAUAAUAGCUGAAUUUUAAAUUUAAAUUUUACAUAAUUAUUAAUUAUCCAAUGCUGACCAUGCAUACAUUGUCAGUGUAAGAAAAAUUAAUUCAUAUAUAUAUAUAUAUAUGUGUGUGUGUGUGUGUAUGUAUUUAUUUAUGUAUAUAAAAGCCGACAAGCUGAUAUCUUUUCUUUUUUUUUUUUGGGCAAGGUAGUUAGGGGUGGGGCCGUGGGGAUUUUAAUUAGGGAUGGCAACGGGGUAGAGUUGGGGCAGGGACCCCUCCCUCAUCCCCCGCCCCGCUGCCUACAAACUCCCCCCGCCCCCGCCCCAUCCCCCGUCCUUCGCUCCAUCCCCCCGCCCUGUCCUCCCCCAUCCCGUUUUCCCUGCGGGACUAAUAAAAAUUUGUUAUAUAAUUUUAUUAUAGUUAAAUUUUAGCAAAUAAUCAAGUACUAAAAUAUCAACACAUCAUCAAAUUAUUAUUCAUUGUAAUUUUACAAUUGAAACUUAUAAAAAUAAUCAAACAAAACUUAUUUGAAUACAAUCCAAUAUGAUGAAAUAAAUAUAACUAAAAUAGUCAAGUUUUCACUAUUGGUACAAAUACAAUCACUAAUUUAUUAUUGUGCUUGUGCUUUUUUUAAGAAAAAAAAUGUUAUUGUAUUAAGUGUAAUUAGGGAUUUAGUAUAAAUGUAUUAGUAAAUUUAGUAUAACCAAUUAAUAAUUUGUAUUAGUACACAUAUAUAAUUAUUAGUAUAAUUAAUAAUAUCAAUUAUAUUAUAUAUACUAAUAGACAUCAUAUAAUACAUAUAACUAAUAAUAUUAUUAUCAUAAGUUUGUAAGCAAUUAAAUUAUAUAUUAUCUAUAUAAUUAUAUACCUAUAUAUAUUUUAUAUAUUUAUUUUUUUAAAGCUGGUGGCGGGGCGGGGGUACACACCCCCGCCCCAAUCCCCUCCCAAUUAAACCCCCGCGGGGCGGGUGCCCGCGGUUACCCGCUCCCAUUGCCAUCCCUAAUUUUAAUUGUGUGUACUUAGGCGUUUACUUGUACUUUUAGAUAUAUUACUAUUAAGGUGGCAAAUUCGGUAAAAUUUUCAUAAACGGAUUUCUUGCUUUUUUUCUAAGGAUGACAUAUAUAUAUAUUCCCCGAAAACAUUUUACUAGAAUAAAAGGUGAGUUAAGAAACUUUGGAAAAUGUGUGGAUUUUAGAUUGUGCACUCUUCAUUGGAAGAUUUUGCUUUGGAAGAUUUACAGAAAAAGCAUUUCCAGAAUAAACUCCAUGGUACAAUGGCACGAGGAUGGGCUUUAACCAAGUCGGCUGCGGCAACCAGAGCAACGCAAAUUGGCAGCAAAAGAGAUGCCCUUUUUCUGUUUCAUUAUUCAGCAUUCAAACUUCUAAUAGUUCUAUCACCCCGCCAAGUACAUAGAUGCUUCUUGUCGUACAACUGCCUUUUCAACUGAAUCUUCAAAGCAAAUAAAAAAUUCCCACGUUCUUGGAGAAAUGUUUGCUCCAAAAACAUUGGAAAAAAAGAAAGGCUUCAUUGUUAUUGAAUUUAUAGGAACGAAACUGGAAAGUCCAACCAAGGGUUGCUGGUCACUUUUCCUCGAACCCAAAGGCAACAAUUCCGCCCAACUAAAGAAUAAAUCAGGAAGGAAGUACCCACCAGUGCCCGGUCUUUCUACAUCUUUUACUGAUUUUAUUGAUAGGGCUCAUCAUUGCACAAUUGUGUAAGAAGAUAACUGCUUUUGCUUCUGGAUUUGGGGCAGGGACGGUCCGUCUGAGUAGUUCACGGCCAAAAUUUGGCCCAAAAAAAAUUUUACGGUCCAAAUUUCAUCUUGUAUCUCAUUUUUAACAAUAUGUAUAAGAUCCACAAAAUUUUGUUCUAAAAUUACACGUUGUUGAAAGUAAGUUACACCAUGUAUAAAUAGAGUUACGCCGUGUGCAAGAUGCACACAGGUGCAACCGUUCUUGCCCCUGUCCCUUUGUUUCUCUUCUGUUGCACCUCUAGGCGCCUCUCAAUGAAAGUAUGCCUUCUGUAGGGGGUUAAAAAAAAAAACAAAAAAUAACUCAGAAAAAUUCAUCAACCUUUCAAUUAAAAUCAACUAUACUUGGUUCAGUUUUGAAAAUUACUAGAAACAAAUCGUAUUAACCACCUUGUGAUCCUAAUUUUAGAGUUAAAAAACACAUAACUGAGAAGGUAACUUGACGGCAUAGAUAACAAGAGCAAUCCCUUUAUUCUGUUAAUUAAACCAUAUAUUUUCUUUCCUCAGAAAGAAAAAACUUUUUAAUUGAACAAAGAUACAGCCAAUUCCUAGCCUACCUAGUUUUUGGCUUCACCCCAGCUCGGACCACUAAAUUUAGGCUUUACUUUGGGGCAAUGCUUGUAGGUGAGCGGCCUUGUCUCACCCCAGCCCUAUGAUGUACUAGUAUUCUGCGUGGCCGUUUCUCCCUCUACGUUUUUACUGAACUCCCAAAAGGAGAGGGUUGGAGUUGAAUCUUGACAGACACAGAAAUGGAAGAAAGUUGAACCCGAAUUUGCAUUUACUAUGUCCCAUUAUCUAAAAAUCAUCCAUCCAAUUGUUAAGUUCAUCGACGAAAUGUAAAGGAUGACAUCGACAAUUCAGUUGCAGGGAACACCCUACUGACCAGUGAUAGUUGGAAGUGUGUCAGGACAACAGAAUUGAGAGAGAGUUCCUACUGCAGCUUUGAACUCUUCCCACCAAGAGUUGAGCUGCUCUUGGGUGAAUUCUCAUGCUCAAUAGCUAGCUAGACCAGUCAUGGCUAAGCACAAUUAAGCUGAAUAUGGAAGCGGUCUCAUCACACACGGAAAUAUCCAUCAUAUUCACUAGAAAUGAUAAACAGAAUCAUAUCAGGAGACACAGAGUCGAGAGAUUCAAAAAUAGACACACAAUUUGACAGGCCUUAAAUUUCCAUGAAAAUAUGUAUAAAAGUACUUAGAUUUGUUUAAAAUCAGUAAUCAGGAUCUGAUGAGGCAUCUCGAAACCGUAAUCAUAACAUUUGAACUUCAUAUUGAAAUUAAAUUAUCAAGAAUUUGGUCAGUCUGAAAAGGACAACAAUUUACAACAUUGGUGAUAGCACUGAAAACUGAAAACCUUAUCUUAGAUUUUUCCCACCCUCCACUUAGUCCACACAACUAUAUAAGUCAAAAUUUUGUAGCUAAAAUCAGCCUGGAAAUUACAUAAAACAAUCUGAAAUCUGAAGUAGAGAAAGAACAGGAAAAAAGCACUCAAUUAUGAAAACCAACACCACAUAUCUGAGGGUAUUAUGCCUUAAUGUCUUCUACCUCUGUUCCGCUUAGAUGCAACCACAGUCCAUCCAUCUUCUGUUUCAGCUGGUUCCUGGGGUAUAGACUCAUCCACCAUCAUUUCUUCCCUAUUCAUGACAGAAUGGGAUUGUGGAACAUCGACCACCAUCUUUGACGAGCCAUCAUUUGGCCCAUUACCAUUAUCACUGUCUUCAUUAUCAUCACUAUCGCUGUCGCUGCUGGCCUGUAUCUAAGUAAAAAAACAGAUGGGAAUGAAUCCAAAUGGAAAGUGUACUGCAGAUUCUCAAUAGCUUCUUAAGGACUGAGAUUUGAAAUUCUUUAGUAUAAGAAGAGUCUCAACUGCAGAUUCUCAACAGCAUGUUAAGGACUCUCCACUGCAGAUUCUCAAUAGGAUCUUAAGGACUGACAUUCAAAACUCUUAGCAUAUGAAGAGUCUCAACGCUGUUAAAUACACUGGAUAAUUGUCAUUGACAAAACAUUUGUCAAUCAGCUACAACAUCAUUACCUGUGUAACAUGGGUGGCUGCUCCUGGUGGAGGAUUAGUUGCCCUAAGCCUUUGUAUGGAACUAAAAUCACCUUUCAAACAUUCUUCAUGCAUAAACAUCAAUUUUUCAGCUAUCUGCUUAAAGCAAUUCAGUGACAAAAAAUAAAAAAUAAUGUUAAAAAGUGCCCACAAAAGUGGGAAACCAUCAAGAUAGAACAAACCAUGUUACAUCAGUAAAUAUGCAAUUGAUAUCAUAAUCAUAGCUGUCAUCCAGAAAAAGAAGCAUGGUUUCCAAAUAUUCAUCCCCAAAAGAAAAUUGUAUCGGCCUUUUAUGUGAUUGGUCAUAACUAUAGUGAUUUCGCUACUCGUAUUUGUUUUUCCAAUUAAAAGAUGACUAAUUCUAAUUUAACCACCAUAUUUUGGUUCUAGUAACCUCCCUAUAUGAACUAGAGAGUAUUUGUUCAUUAGAGUUAGUGCUUCUGCUGAUGUCAACAAAUUCUUAAGAAUGCAAAGUAAUACAGAACAAAGUCCCAUAAUUCCAAAAGGAGAAGAAAACUCCCUUCAAAUUUGAUAAAAUCUAAGGUGGGUGUGCAAUUCAGCCGAUCACCAAAAGUAUCAUUUACCCACAAGUUCAACAUUGAGAUAGACAUUGCUGGCUCUAGCAAUUCUUUCUGUCCCUUUAUAGUAGAAAAAAAAGUUGGACAUGAUAUGGUAUAGAUGCACAAUGAAAAUGAAACUUUUAAGCAAUUAUUUUUUUCAAGCCUGUUAAAGCAAAGGGGAUGUUCAAACCAUACUUAACCUUCACAUCCUCUUUAUUGCAAAGAGAAAUUGAAACUUGAAAAGAAUAUAAAGCCAAAAAAUCCACAAUCAUCACAAGCCCUAACACUGCAUAUCAGGUUUACCAUUUUGAGAAAACCCUGGGUAAUCAAGGGUUAGACAAGAUAGGCUUUCUAAAUUUCAGAAUCCAGAGCCACUAUAGUUCUGAGAGGAAUUGCAGAUGCUGAUUGUCAUCAAGCACAUUUCGGACAAAAAACUUAGAAUCCCCAAAAUCAAGUCAAAUGACCAAACAGAUAGUAUUCUGAAUACCUAAAAAAAUAGUUUAACAUCUAUCCUUGGCCUUGCUGCAAUAUUAAGGCCAUGCAUUAUUAUAACCAGAACAAUAUGGCAGGGAUUGAAGGAAAUCUUGAUGGUGAUCUAAAUAAUAGAAAUCUCUUUCCCCUUGUUCUUGUCUAUUUCAGUGCAUAUAUCUUGAAACAUACAUUCUCUGUGUUCAUAUAUCAUGUUUCAUAAGACAGUCACAUGCAAAAGGAAAGAACACAAGUUACAAAAUGCUUGCUUUACAAGAUCCCAAAAUUCCAGCUUUGCUGUUUAACUAAUAAACUCAAAGCAAAAAGGUUGCAAUUGUCUAAAAGAAGUAUACUACAAUCUACAUCUCUGCAUGUUAAAUGAAUAUUGAUUAGCAUGCACAGCCAGCUUCCUUUCCCUGAUUUACUAGCAAGGUGUGGGUUAGAAAAUCAUCCUUUUAUCUCUCAUCAUUCCCUUCAAACCCCAACCUCCAGUAAAAGGCAAAAUAAAUUACAAAUCCCAACUCCAUUAAUCAGCUUUUCCCUCCUGUCCUCCUGCUUCAAGAACAUCUCUAGAUAUGUUUUAGUACAGAGCCUCCAGCACUCAGACUGGGAAAAUUUUUGUUUUUCUUAAAAAGCGUCAUUUAUAAGUAUCUCAAGCCCAAACCACCUGUCUGAUCAGUCAUCUAAUAGUGGCAGCAACACUUAUUCAUGCAACUUCAAGCUUAUAUAGGAAAACAGAAUUACACCGAAUGAUGACUAAUAAGCGCAAGGAAACAAUAAGACCACAUCACUUCAACCCUUGACUUCAGCUUGAAUCUAAAGGAUCAAAUCCUUUAGAGGAAACAAUAAGGAGGAUGCCAAUUCUUAAAACCUAUUCAAUUGAUAAUAUAAUUGAAUAAGUGCACUAUUUUUUUUCCCUUAAGAAAGGAGGAAGGUACUAGGAUAAAGAAUACUCUCUUUCAACCUCGCGAAAAAUUCUUAAGAGCGCUUCAAGCCUUGAGCCGUAGACUUGUUUAAAAAAAUCUGACAUGCCAAGGGUUAAUAUUAACUGAGUACUAAGAUUGAACAGAGGCAAUUAUCUUGAUUUGAGAAGCAGUAACUUCUCAACCGUUUACGCGAACUAAAAUCAUUGCAGUGCAAUAAACAAAAGCUCAAAUCGACAGGCAUCAAACAGUUUAGCUGAACUGAGUACCUCCUCUAUACUGCCAUCGGCAAUCUCAGUACCAAGAGAUAGCAUUGAAUCAUCAAGAAGAUCCUCCACGUCAUCCAUAUAUACUCUCUCUGAACACCCGAAUUUCCCAAUAAAGUUAAAGAAAGAGGAAAAAACCGAAAAAAUCAGAGAAAACUCAAGCAGACAGAAAUAAACAACGGAAAAACGCAAGAAUUUGCUGAAUUCAUUUUCAAAGAAGAAAUUUAAAAAAUUUAACCGAAACUGAAAACCUUUGGAUCCAGCAAGAAGUGAAAAGAGGUCGAGUUCGAGUUGCUGGGACUUAAGACGAGACUGGGGGCCACCCCACUCGCUCUGAACGGCCAUUUGAAGUGCUGUCCAUCGAGAAAGCAGUAAAUUGAUGCCUUGUUGGAACUCAGCCGCCGCCUCCCCAGUCAGCUGGGGAGCAGCAGCCGCCGAUGACUUGCCGGUGCCGGUGUUGCUUCGGUAAUUGGAGUCCAUUUUUCGGUUUAAUUCCUAGUGAAACCCUAACCUCUGUUGCUUAUUGUUUGGAGUCAUUUUUCUUCUUUCCUUUUUGAAGAAUGUUUUGGACUGCCCUUUAAUUUUUCAAAACCCUUAUGGUUCUGAAUAAAUAAAUCCAAAAUCAUUCCAAUGGUACCGUAUUUUUCUAAAUACAAUAAAGUAAAAAUAUAUAAAUUUCAAAAAAAUAUGAACACUAUCUAAUUUUUAUUUUCAAAUAAUAAAAUUAAUAUUCAAGAAGUUGAAUCCAAUAUUAUUAACUCAAAAAUUAACUAUUAUCGAUCGUUUUGAUUUAUUUUUGAAACUUCAACUACAUUAUAUACUAACAAUCGAGGUGCUCUUAAUGCAUGUGCAAUUCGAUUGGAGGGAGAUAGUUUUAGUUAAAUAAGAAUUGUAUAUCCGUUGUUGAUAAUAGUGAUAAGAGUUAAUAUAUAGUAAUAGAAAUAAGGAUAAAUUUGAAAAUUCAUAGAGUUUAACGGCUUACAAAGGCUUUAUUAUUGUAAAAAUUUAUAAUUAUAUAUACACGGAUUUGGAUAGAAUUUAGUAUAAAUUUAAAUUUGAAUAUGAAUCAUAUAAAAAAUUAGACCCUACCCAAACUCAUAACUCUUAGAUAAGAACUGAUCCAUUAACAUGUCUGAUCAUACAUCCUUUUUCUUAUUCAUCAAAUAAUCAAAUUUACCAUUAAAAGGGGGGGGGGGACGGGGGAAAUUUCAUAUAUUUAUUCGUACCUUUUAAUCCCUCAAGUUUGGAAUGAAACAUUUUAGAACCUCAUGAAAUUUAAUUCGAGUAUCAAAUAGUUUUGUUUGGUUUUAAACUCUAAACACUCCUAAAGAGUCCCAGGUUGAAUGUUAUGGUGUUUAAAUUCGAAUUAAUUUUUCCUAAAACUCUAGCAAUUCGGUACGUUUAUUGGUUGAUUGAGUUCAAACAAUUUUCAUUAAACUAAUUUGAUUUAUCUUUCACGUAGGUUCCAAGUCUUACGCUUUAUCAAAAAAUGCUCAAAGAAUCAAAUAAUAAGAGUUAAUUCUUGGUUGGGCUUGGUUGAGUUAAUUGAUUACUCAAUAAUAUUUUGUUUGGAUAGGGUAUUAUUUGAAAUAUUAUUUGGAAUAAUUACUGUAGCACUUUUUGUGAUGUGAUGUAUGUGAGAUAAAAAGGUGAUUGGUAAUAUAAAAAGGUGCGUUGAAAAAUGUGUUUAUAAUGCAAGCAAAAUAUUAUCUGAGAUAAGUUUUGUAUCCAAACACUCAUUUUUAGUUGUUUUCCGAAAUUUUUCCUUUUGAAAAAGUAACCAUUUUCAAAUUUCAGUGCAUAUUUUGCUAAGUGAUCAUUUUAGUGUCAAAGACUCUUUACAAAUGUGUGAAUUUACAUAUUUGGAAAGGGCUUCUUCUCGUAGCUUCAAGACUUCGCCAGUAGGCAUCUUUCUUGCUAGUACUUUUGUCUGUUACAUGAGAGCCUAUGCAAUAAAACUCAACAGCCAAGUAGCUAAUUUGCUGAAGAAGAAGAAGAGAGGUGGAGAAUAUGUCGACUGAAAAUGGAUGUGCUGAGCCAAAACUGGUCACUGGAGAUGCCGGUUACGUCCUUGAAGACGUGCCCCACUUGUCCGACUACAUUCCUGACCUUCUGGUACGUAAAACUUCAUGAUUCUGCAAAUGGAAAACCAUUAUUUGUACAAUUAUUUUUCAAGAAUUCUAUACCUUCUGGUACGUGAAACUUUCCUUUUUUGUGUUCUUGGUGUUGGUUUCAGACUUAUCCUAAUCCAUUGCAAAACCAUCAUGCUUAUUCAGUUGUUAAGUAAGUGUUUUAACUGCCCGCGACCAUGCUAUUUUUCUUGGUUUUUCAUUGGUGUAUGGAAUUGAUGUUGCAAAACAUUUUGUUAAUGUGGAUGACAGCGUUACAAAAAAGGUAAUGGUACUCAUUUUGAUUGAGAUUAUCUUCCUGAUGAAAGCGGAAAAUUAUUUUCCUGAUCAUUUUGUUCUUAUGUUUUUUCCUAAUUCAUCUACUUGUGCUUGUGAUUGUAGAUUGUUGUAGGCAGAAGUAGCCCAAGAGGGACUCAUUUUCGGCGUGCUGGACCUCGUCAGAAGGUUUCUUUUUUUGGUUCCUUCUUCAAUUUUCUUUCAAGAAUAAGAUUCAUCAUUUUGCUAACAAUGUUGAACCAAUUAUAUUAUGAAAGCUAAAUUGGCUUGAAUUUUCCUCAGGUUUGUUUUGAAUCUGAUGAAGUUCUUGCAUGCAUCGUGACUUGUGGAGGUCUCUGCCCGGGUUUAAACACAGUGAUCAGGGAGUUAGUCUGCGGCUUACAUGACAUGUAUGGCGUCAAUAGCAUUCUUGGAAUAGAGGUAAAUAAGUGUUCAAUCAAUGUUGACAGGACAGAUAUUUCCGCAACUGAUUUUUCCUUUGUAGCAGUUCGUGUUGGAGGGGAAGGACUAGGCUUCUUUUGUUUUUUCCUACUUCGUUUUGGUUCAAUCCCACUGGAGGAUGUUGAAUGCCUGGAAUGUGACUUAGUAUGAAUGUUCUUUUGUGAUCACAGGAUGGAUACAAGGGAUUCUAUUCUCGGAAUACUAUCCCUUUAAGACCAAAAGUUGUGAAUGAUAUUCACAGACGGGGCGGUACCAUUCUUGGGACAUCAAGAGGGGGCCAUAAUACAUCAAAAAUAGUAGACAGUAUUCAGGAUCGAGGAAUUAAUCAGGUAUGGAGACUUGCCUUUCAAUUCUCUUUUUUGAUUUUUGUGGUUCCUUUUGAAUUAUGGCUUCUGAGAAGCAGAAAGCAUGUUUAGAACUCAAUACUUGAUUUUAGAACUUCUAACUUUGCGGUGAAGAUUUUCCUGUUUAUAUUUGUGCUCAAGAUGUAUGACACCGAGUGUAUCAGGUUUACAUUAUUGGAGGAGAUGGUACUCAUAAAGGAGCUGCAAUGAUCUUCGAGGUGAUCCAGUUUCUCGCUUUUAUUGGCUUUGGCUGUGUGAUGCAAUGCUUCAGAUACUCUCAGGCUGGAAGAGUUGUUUGUUAACCUGGAUUAUUUGCAGGAAAUCAGAAGGCGCGGCCUCAAAGUUGCUGUUGUUGGAAUACCCAAGACCAUUGACAAUGACAUACCGGUACUGCAAUACAUUCUCGUCCCCUCUUCUGAUACAAUUGCGCUUUUGAGCUAAAAGGUUUACAAACGAAGUUCUUAGAUCUUAAGCUUUACCUAAUUCAGGUUAUAGACAAAUCCUUCGGUUUUGACACUGCUGUUGAGGAAGCUCAACGAGCCAUCAAUGCAGCUCAUGUUGAAGGUGAAAGCAUUGAGAAUGGUAUCGGUGUUGUCAAACUAAUGGGACGUGAUAGUGGUAAGUCUUCAACUCGGUAAUUACAGCUUAUAGUGUCUUCCAACUCCAUAGGAACCAUCCCUUCAAUUGAACCAUUGCUCUUUAUGUGGCUGUCAAAAGUGACAACAAUAUCAGUGAACUUUUGAGGCAAUGGUUGUUUCACCCCUGUAGGUUUUAUUGCAAUGUAUGCAACUCUUGCGAGCCGAGAUGUGGACUGCUGUUUGAUUCCAGAGUCACCCUUUUUUCUGGAAGGACAUGGUGGACUCUUUGAACAUAUAAAAAACAGACUCAAAGAAAAUGGGCACAUGGUUCUCGUGAUUGCCGAAGGAGCUGGGCAGGAUCUUCUCAGAGAAAGCAUGCAUGUUGUGGAUAAGAAGGAUGCUUCUGGAAACAAGCAGCUCCAAGAUGUCGGCUUCUGGAUAUCUCAGAAGAUCAAGGUUAUUGUUGUUCAAGUCUUUGCUAUAAUCAUCCUACUAUAAUGUGCUCUUUGUUUGUGGGCUAUUUUAGCAAUAGGAGGAUAUAGUCAUCCUUCUCAGAAAGUUUACUGCUUCUAGGAGGAUAUAGUCACAGUCUUCACAAUAACACAGAUGCUUCAGCAUAUGUACUUGAUUGACUGUAUUACUACUAGGCAAGUGCCUCAUGCAAUUUUUGUUGCAAGUAUAGAUAAUUGAAUUUUCUAUUACAGUUAAAUGCAUAUUGGGAUUAUUCUGCUCUGUGAUCUCAAACUGGUAUGUUACCCAAGUAUGAUUGAUCGUUCAUGGCAGAUCCUACAUAUAUGAUCCGUGCCAUUCCAGGCAAUGCAUCAGACAAUAUCUACUGCACACUUCUAGCUCACAGCGCGAUUCAUGGCUCAAUGGCAGGUUUCACAGGGUUUACAGUAGGGCCUGUUUAAUGCAAGACAUGCUUACAUACCCUUUUAUGUGAGUUUGGUGUUUAGAGUCUUACUUUUCUUGUAGUCUUUCUGCUAGUUUCUUGAUCCUAAAUGUACAAAAAUAAGCUAAUUCUUCUGUUGGCAAUAAUUCGAUAUAUGUAACAGAUUUGUGUCACUGUAUGGUGUUAAUGGUUUCGACUGACCAUUUUGCAGCGCAUAAUAGAGAGACAGAAUAAGGUGGUAAUAACAGACCGGAUGUGGGCAAGGCUCCUAUCUUCAACCAACCAACCAACCAAGUUUUUUGGACGCGAAAGAUGUUGCUGAAUCGAAGAAAGAAAAACCGCCAUCAUCGCAGUUGUUAAGUGAUGAUGAUGGUGAAAAUUUGCAUAGAGAAAAUCAUUCAGGAAAAUCUUCUUAUUUCUUGUGAAGAAGGGUUUGAAGGGGAGAAUUCCUGUAGCAAAGAGAAUGUGUCAGAAGGGAAGUCAUCCAAUAAAGAGAAUGAGAAAGGUCAUCUGGAUAACAGGCUGACAGCAAAACUUGACAGUAGCUAGAAAUGUGGAUAUCUAUUUGUAGUUUUCUGUGUUCAUGUCUGAUUUUCAGUUAAUUGCUGUUAACCCAUGCGUAUUUCGGGUUAUCACUUUCUAUCUUUAACUUUUCAGAUUGCAUGUUUGUCGUUUUUACUGUAAAAGUUACUGUGGUUAUAAAUUUUAGGACAUAGCAAAUAGGAUUAAUAUUUCCUACACUGACAAUGUAUAUAUUGUCAGCAUUGAAUGAAUAACAACUAUGCAAAAUUGAAAUUUAAAAUUCAAUUUUUGCAUGUAUGUCAUAGAUUCAACAGUAAUAGUGUAUACAUUGUCAGUAUCAAGCGAAGGAAAAACGUUCAUAAAAACAUGAGGGAAUACAAAGGUGGUGUUUUUUAGAUGUUGGUAAAUCCUGCAUCCCUGAGCCAGGUAGAGACCCCCUUUUAGGUUUGGUACACUAUUCUUGAACACUUUUUAACUGGAAGCGGAUACUGACUGCAAUUUACCAAACAUCAGGGACCUCAUACAUCCUCAGCACCAAGAUUCAACAUCAUCCUUGAACCAAAUCCAGCCUCAAAAAGACCACACAGCCUCAAUCAACCUCUUUCUUUCCAUUCUAAAUGCAACCCUCAGAGAAGCUCAUUUUCCUUGCCAAUCAGAACACAGAUCAGAGAUGGUAUCAUUGACAUUAAACUCACCAUUACUGUACUUUAGAUCCCUCUCCUCCGACACACGCCAUGCUGGCAUCUUGUUUGAUCACUGAAACCAGACACUGUGGCCUGUGGCCAUGCCCAGAGUGAAAUUCCACUUUUGGAAAAAUCCACUUUUCGUCUCUAAAUUUUGCGUUAGGAACACAUUUUGUCCCCAAAUUUUUAGAUGCACCACAUUUAGUACAUGAAUUAAUUAUUUUUUGCCAUAUUUAAUCCAAAAACGGUAAAUUGCUUAAUUUAGAUGGAGAAAGUCAUGUGUUUGGCACGUGACCGUUAAGUAAAAACAAUUUCUCAGUCAAAAUCAACAACUAUGUCAGUCUUCUCCAUCCAAAUUGAAUAUUUUACCGUUUUUGGGCUAAAUGUGGUCCAAAAUAAUUAAUUCAUGUACUAAAUGUGAUGCGUCUAAAAAUUUGAGGACGAAAUGUGUCCCUUAAUUCAAAGUUUAAGGAUGAAAAGUGGAUUUUUCCCUUCCACUUUUCAAGUCCUUGAUGUAUUUUCCUUUCCUUUCUCUAUUGAAAGCUUGUGAAAAUCUAAGUACCCUAUAGGCAUGCAAUUAAAAAUGAUAAUGAUGAUUCUUUCAUCAUAACAGGAUGCACUCCAUCACUCAUCACAAUUUACAACAACUCUUGACCAUGGUAUGGAAUUAUAUGUCUGGUAUCUGGUUUGUAGCCCCCCAAUGAAAAGAAUGUUACUUUACACCUAAACCAGACAAAAAAUUGGUUGCUCUGUUGUGGUACAACUUACAAUGCUGAAAAGCCUCUAUAUUGAAACAAAUACAACAUGUAUCCACCAAGCAUCGGAAAAAAUAAUAGUCCUAAGUGCUGUAACUUGUGGCUACUUCUGACAGAGAGACGUAGAAAAGAAAGAAUCAUCUCUAAUGCCUCUCCAUUUCUCUGAAAAUAUUUGCUACCCUUGGGGAUAACCUUGGCAAAAACUUGAAUAACUGGAAAAAAAAAAAAAAGGAUCAAAGCAUCAGAAACACCUUGGCUAAGGAGUCAAAAGGGGGGAAAAAUCAAAGCAUGAGAAGCGCCUAGGCUAAGAAGUCAAAAAAGGACAAAGACAACAAACAAAUUGUUUGCCCCCUUCCCCCCCCCCCCCCUCUCUUCCAGCAUAAAGAAGGUUGCCAAAAUCUGUAUACCUGGGCUUUGUGUUUGGUUUUAACAGUUUUGGAGGUUGGAUCAUUAUAGUAACUUUCCUUUUCCAGCUAAAAUGAUGUUACACUCAUAAAAGUUAUGCUUUUCAAGCUACCAUGUUACCCCCACCCAAAAGGAAACAGGAAAGGCAAUGCAGACUUCAGUACAAGAUGAAGAGCAUGAUCCAAUUAGUGAGAUCAUUUGUUGAGAACAGAAUUGUUUAAAAAAAAAAAGCUCUCUGUAGGUACAUAGCUUGAACUGUGAAAUAUGUAAUCAUAUUGUCAAGUAAAUCAAAAUGCAGAAAAAGGAAAAGAAAAACAUGAUCAGGCAGAAAUCACAAACACAUAUGGUAAAAUGUUUUCCCAACAUACAAAAAAUUCCAUAGAUCAUAUGUUUUAGAUAGAAAACGUACCCAGAGCUUCACGCAAGCAUCAAUAAUAACUGGAACUAAACAGACAAAAAUGGUAAUGGCAGCCUCAUCAACCUCAAGACCAUAAUGCUCAACUAUUAUCUCACAUACAGUCUGCCAACCAGACUCUGAAUGAUACCUGCAGAGUCAGAAGAGCGAAGCAAGAGCAUUAGUAGUUAAUAGAAUUUUUGUUGCUCAAUAAACAAGUCAAAUCAUAUCAAAAGUGCACUAAACAUCUAAGAUGGUUUUCUUUUUUUUUUUGGAAAAUUCUAAGAUGGGGUUAUUAUCCUAUCUGAGAUAACUAGCCUAAAUUCAGCAUGUGAUCCAACUAUGGCGGGACCAACUUCAAUGAGAAAUCACCACAUCAAAAUUGAAUAAUUAAUACAUUAGAAAACAGAGAAUAAAAAAUGUUACCCUAGAAAUAUAUCAGUGACAAGUAUAAUUAGGAAAGCCUUCCCCGUGUCUGUAACAUUGUUUAGCAUCUUGUAGCCAGUAAAUUUCAGCAGAGCUACCUGCAGAAGCAGGCAAAAGUUGGCAAGAUGAUUGAAAGCGUUCAGUAUAAUAUGGCAAGAUGAUCGAAAGAGUUCAGUAUAAUAUGCUAAUCUUCAUAUAUGGAUGCCGCAAGCAGAAAAAGCACAAAAUCAAAUUAUCCUACGGCCUUCCUGACAUUAAGUACCCAAACAAGGUCACAUCAUCCAAUUCCAUCCAUUUUAUGUUAGCAUUCCAUUAAUAAAACACGACUUUACACAUCAUAUGUCCAUCAAAACAUGUUUCUCCAUGAAACUAUAUGAAUGUUCUAUUGAAAAUAAAGUACUGGAAGCAGAAAACUGGAAUUACAUUAUAUAGUUGCUCCUAUAGUUGUAUAAAUAUAGUUCUAUAAAUAAACAAACUAAGUCUCUGAAAAGAAUAGAAGCCAUAUAUAGUGAAACUAGAGUUGCUAGGAAAAAGGCCUGAAAGAGAAAACAGAAAUUCUUAGUGGCUCUAAGGGCAAGAACGUUUAAACAUCAAAAUAUUAGGUGCAUAAUCACUUGAAAAUUGUGAAGCAAGAAUGUCCUCAGAUUUUUUGUUUUCUUUUGGGCCAUGCAGUCAUGGUAAGUGGGAAGCUUACUUAUUAAACAAAAAAGUGCAAGUAUGUUGACUUUUAUUUUCAGAAUGAAGUUCCUAGGAAAUAAAAGAGAUGGAAAGGAAGGGAAGCUUUAAGUGCAAAAUCACACUAAGUUGUUAAUAACAUGAAAUGGAAUUAUUAAAAUAGGUAUUUGAGUAUAAAACUCAUAGAAAACGAUGAGUACUCACUUGACUCUGAUUGAAGUACAAAAGAAUGAACAAUGAUACUCCAAAAACAAUAUCAGACCAUAUAUUGGCAAAUGCUCUACGAUUCUCUAGCCUCCGCUGAUCUCGUAACUCUAACCUGUUACAUCACACAAAACAUGAAAAGACAUUAAAUCUCUUAAUAUGAUGUCCUAACUACUAUCUAUUAACAUUUAAUUACUGUUACGUGUGAGUUCAAGGUAGAGGUACGUAUAAUUUGAGUGAACAAAUUAAAACUAUUUGCAGCUUUCUGUAGUGCAACAAUGAGUACUAGUCCAACAACUAUGAUGCAGUUUUUCCAACAGUGAACAGCAACAUGAGAUGACCAACAGCAAAUGUGGCAGACUAGUUCAAGUUUUAAGUAUAGUUCUAAUUGACAGCUACAGCCUUGAUUAGAGUAUGAGAACCCUUUAAACCCAUAAAAGCAUGAAAUUGUUAACUCACCAUUAAAAAACAAGAAAAUAGUACAGCUGUAACUUUUAUUGGUGAACAAAUUUCGAUCAGAUUCUCAACAAUUGAAGUCCGUGUUGUGAGAUUGAUAAACUUUUUUUUUAUGUAACUAGACAAUUUGGUUUCAAUGAAAUUGCUAACUACAAUGUAGAUAACUCUAUAAAUGAGCCUUGCAAUCAAUGAAUUACUUCAUGAUUAAAGAAAAUCUACAGAAACUAUCUCCACAUCAUUUCUCUGUAUAUUAAGAGACAAAGAGUAAGUGGGAUUUGUAUAGUAUAGUAGCCAAUAACAAGGUAAUUACUGUCAAUAAACUGCAUCAUGCACACUCAUCUCUGUGGACAUCCAAUGUUAACUGGCUCCAUUUAAUUACAUGAAAUUAAUCAGAUCAUUCCUAAAUCAGUGUUAUAUUAACAGUUUGAUUUUCUACUCUUGCAGCAUGAUUCAAGGCCCGUUAAUCGAAUGUAAUGUGCAGGACAGCCAUUAAAUCCAAAUUCUAACUCAUUCAAAAGGUAGAAAGUUGGGAGGAGAAAAUCAGAGGGAAAUCAUAAUCGCUCCAAUGCCUUGUAGGAGUCUCAUCUAGAGAGGGAAUUAAAUGGAAUCCUACCAUUUUUUAUGCAAAUGCUGCAAGGCAUUUGUGAAAAAUUGUGAGAAGCUGGAUUAUAUAAGCAUAGUUUCCUACUUUUUCCUUUUUAGUUCCCUAGGUCUAUGUAUUUAGGUAAUCUCAAGUAAAUAUUCUGAAAAAUCAACCAAAGCUAGACACUGGCAUUGUGAGGAGUAACUAUAUCAUGAAUACAGCAGGAAGCACUUUUUGUUGUUAAAACAUCUCCUGUAACAAUUUGGAGAAAGCCACAUAUUAUCUCCAAUAGAGUUUUGUAAAGUUGAGACAAUCUAAGCUUUUCAUUCAAUCUUCUCUAUACAACCAAACUUCCACUCUUAAGAUCCAAAUGUUUUCUGUCCCGCUACAUAAAUUAAUUUGUCAACUUAAUAUCAGAAUGACUGAAUAAAAUCUAAAGCAACAAAAUUAACACCACAAAUCAGUCUUACGCCUUAUGGUGUAAUUCCGUCCACAGCUCCUCUUCAGAGAGAGGUGGCGAUUUACCAAUCUCUACCUCAAGCCUAUACCGGGCUUUCUCCAGCUUUAUCUCCUGGACCAUUUCAAGCUUCUGACUUCUUCUCACAUCAAGCAUCUGUGCUGCUAAUGGUACUGUCUUGACAUAUCUAUUGAAGACAUGAAAGUCAAUUAAUCAGAAUUUCUUAUUUGCAUUCACAUUUGCUGCAAGGCACAAUUUGAAACACACUUGCAUCCUAAGUUCAUGGUAUCACAUGAUGACGAAGCCAUUGAUGAUGUUGCUGAUAGUUUGAUGCAGGAAACGAAGAGGAAUUAAUGAAAAACUCUGAGGACAGGUCUAUCAUGUUUUGUAGGUGACAAGAUUAAAUGAAAAUUAUGAAAUACAAGAUACAUUCAGAAAUGAAUAGCUAAAGUUUAUCUCUUUGAAGGACAACCAACAUCUUAAUCAGAAAAUUCCAAACUAAAGAUGUGCAAAUGUUUUCUUAAUCAGAAAAUUCAAAACUAAAGGCACUUCUAACAUGUAGGCAUGUCAAGAUAUAAGCUUCCAAGUAAUUCUAACGUGCAAAUGCUUUCUUGGAAAUUAUGAGAAUUUUGAAGGUAAGACACAUUGUCUAACGUGCCUUGCUUCUUGUAGCUCAUGGAACAGUUUUAGAAAUCCCUGGUUGAUAAAUUUUCAUCUCAAAUCUAAAUAUACUCCUUAAUUAGAACCUGUAAAGUUUUAUCUUCUUUUGAUUAGGUAGUGAUUUCCUGUUAGAAAAUCUUUAGUUACCAUUCUGGCUCUAGUAAGUUUUAAAAUACAGGUGAAUUGUGCUCAACUUCUCGUGACUACAAGGUGAGUUUUGCUUUUGAGAGGAAAAGAAAAGAAAGCCAAUGGUGCUCCUGCUAGGAUGUUCAGCUAAUGAAUGACGUUCUACCAUUUUCACUUCUUCUUAGAAUUCUAGUAGCUGAGUAGAGGUAAAAAAAAAAAUAUGGCUGGCAAGCUACAAAUAACUAAGACUCUUAGAGUACGCUUUCAAUCUGGUAACUGAUUAAGAGUUUCUAUAGGGAGUUGGACUACUUUUCUGCUAAAAGAUUACUAGCCAAUGGGAGUAAUUGAUUUCUGACAGAAAAGUAGUACCAUUCCAGCAAUGAUUCUGGAAAAAUAAUAAAUAUCCAAAUCUGGAAGGACCAAAAAGGAUGAUACUGAAUUUCUAACACAAUUCUGUUCUUCACGCUUAAGAUCAAAAGUCAAAGCAACUUAUUCUAGCAUCUAGUUGGAACCUCUGCCAAAAAUUCUCAUUAAUGUAUCUUCCAUUUUCUCUCAAGUUUCUAUAUUCCCUGCCAUUUCUUUAAGAUGCUCACUACGACCAACUAAUGCAAUUUCAUGCAAACCAAGGCAAUCAUCAACACUGAUAAAAAAUUGCUGGUACAUUAAUAAAAUAGUUGCAACUUUGUUCCUUAAAUCCCUAAAACCAAACUCGCUCAUCUAAUUUUGUAAGAGUGGUGAAAGCCAACUUAAUUAACCUAUUCACAAAAUUAUCAGGUCAAGCCUGAUCAUUAACAGCCUACUCACCAGACUGGAUAUGAUAAGAAAUGACAUAAAGCUUCAAAAUUUUCAUCAGUGUUGUGCAGUACUCAUCCAAGCCGCAUAUCCUACCUGAAAGUGUGUCCCUGAACCACCCAUAUCAGAAAAUGUACAAGACCUAGAAUGGACAAGACCCAGGUUGACAUCAAAAGAAAAGCAUGGUUAAUGUCCAGCUACUUCAGUGUAUCUACUUCUCCAUCAAAAUGAGCUAAGAGAAGAAACUAUUGUUCAGUUACAAGAAACUAGAAUUAACUUUUAAGAAGUCCUGAUUUCUGCAACAGUCACUUUUGAGCUGAAUUGAUGAAGAGUAUUUGUGAUUGCAAUUAGCAUUUGCAGAUUGAAUCAUAAAGGCGCUAAUUUGUGAUGAAAUCAUAAAAAUCUCAAAAAAAGGAAAAAAUGAUUUCUCUUGGUCGAUGUGCCUAUGUAAAUAAUACACAAACAACUCAAUAAUGCAAUUCGUAUUAAUGCUAACCUGUCCAGAAACGGCACAAGGACAAAGUCGUGAACCAAAAAGUCUAAAGCGCAUGGAAUUAUUAUCAAUACUGCCAAAAAUUUAGCCUGAAAAAAAUAAGGAAGUAAAGGGAACUCAGCAAGUAACAUAAUUAAGAGGCAAAUAUCGAUACCACAAGCAGAUCUAACAAGGUCAAUAUAUUCAAGAAAUUGCAAAGGUGAUUACAACAUAUGAAAACAAAAAUUGCCGGGGUAAAAUAGAUCUGAGUCUUCAACCAUGAAUCUAAAAAAGCUAAGGCAGAAGACCUACUCAGAAUAUAUUCUAAAUAAAUCUCUUAAUUAAGCUUAGCACAAGUAGUGGAAUCAACUUUUAUCAAAUUCUUAUUGGAAUCAAACGAAUCAAAAGUUAAAUGCACUCACUGAAUUGAAUGAUGCAUAACGAAAAACACGAUCCUCAUAUAGUAUUUCAUCAUCUUCCCUGCCAAAGAUCGCAUCCCUUGCUGACUUCACCAAACCUCCCCUAGGUAUCAUCUGAACAGGGUCUUCCCUAGCCUCCUCUACAGAUUUUCCAACUGCACCAUUCGAGCUAUGAAUCCACGACGUGCCAUUGCCAUUAUCAUUUGUUUCAUCUGCAAGCCAGUCCUCCCACCUCCUAUUCUCCUCAUUCCUAAUAUCCUCCUGUGCUUCCCUCAACUCAAUAAUCGCCUCAGCUCUCCUUUUCCAAGCCUCAAACUUCUCAUUAUCUGAUAACUCCUCAUCCCCUGAAUCUUCUGAUUCCAACGAAUCUUCAAGCAUAUCAUCAUCCUUUAGACCAAGCCAAUUCCCAUCAUCGUCCAAAAAGAACCUCUGCCACCAACUCCUCCUUUUAAAAUGCUUUUUCUUGGCUCUUGGCACCAACCCACAAAAUCUUUUCCUCCCAAAGCUCAACUGAACCAAACCACUUUUCAGACAACGUGAAUAAUUCAAGGAACUUUUAUUGGCAUUUCCCUCAAAAAAGACCAAGUUAUCACAUAACACCAUUGAAGUGCUCAUUAAUAACAUGUAUGAAAUAAGCCCACAUUUUUCGACCUCAUACAGGAACAAAGUUGCAAUCUUGCUCAAAGAAAUUCACCAAGAAGGCAAAGGAAACCAUGGAAUCAAUCAGAAAUUUAGAACCCACAAAUGCAUUAUCAUAACUUUAACAAACUUGAAAUCUAUCUUAUCUUCGAGACUACUAUGAAUUGAACAAGCAUACUCCCUAAGAAACAGACUAGAUAAUGAAAACUGUGACACAGUUAUCCAAAAUAUUUAUCUAAAUUGGACCAAACCCACAAAAGUGAGGAGACUGGAUCACUGAAGUGGACUGCUCGCUGGUUUCAGGGGGUUGAUGGUCCAACCAUCUUUAGGCAGACAGAGAGGAUAACGGUUUUUGGUCUAAUUUUUUUGGUUUAGAUGAACCUGUGUUUGGCCGUUUGACAGUUUUACCCUCCAGUACAAUAGUAUUCAACCAUUCAAGUAGGGAAAUCUAGGGGAAUGUAGGUAAUUCGACGGAGCAGUCUAUUUUUCUCCACUCUAAUUCUUGAAGGGUCCAUCUUUGAUAAUGCAGUGAUUGGUUCCUUUGUUUUCUUGUUUUAUUUGACAGAUAUUCAAAACUUUUUGUUAAAAUAUUGAUGUAGUCACAAGUUAUCUUUUUUCCUUUUGAAAUCUGAUUAAAUCUAUAGAAUGGAUUAGUGGGUAUACCAGUAAUUUUAACCAACAGAUAACGGAAGAGAAUUCUAGUAGAUGAGAAAGUAUGUGAAAAAGAAAGUUCAUUGAUAUUAGUACGCGCCCAUUUGUAUUUUCUUCUUUUUAUUAUUUUUGAAGCGUUCAAAGUGUCCUCGCAUUUUAUUAAAUGAAGUUUUUCGUCUUUUACUUUUAAAAUAAUAAUUUUACGUCUUUUAUAAAAUCAAAUCAAUAAGAUUUCGUCCCAAAUUAGAUUUUGGACUACUUUUUGUCCUGAAUCCAUGACGUUAUCCACACAUGAUCAUUUUUUUAAUAGCAAAGAGGUUAGGUUUUUUUUUCCGUUGACCAAAUAAUUCGAUUCAUAUUCAUUUUUGCUUCUAGAAUAAGGAAAAUCUGACCUAAACCAUAUUUGUUUUUCUUAAAAAAGUGAGGUUUGACCCAAUUCAUAUCCAUUUUUUUACUUAAAAAAAAAAGUAAGGUUUGAUGUUUUUGUAUAUAAACAAUGACUGACACGUGGGUCAUAUAAUAAUUUCAAGCUAAAAUAUCAUCAGAAAUUUAGAUUAAGAUUAAAUUUUGUCAAAUUGAAUUUAUAAGAAAUGUAAAAUUAACAUUUUAAGAGUGAAUGACAAAAAUGUUCAUUUAAUAAAAUGUGAGAAACAUUUAAAUAAUUUUCCCAUUCAUCAAAUCUCACUUGAUGGUCUAGAAUGACGGUUUCUUAAAAGGGGUAAUUUCACAAACCUCCCCGAGGUUUCUGACACUUGCACUGACCCUCCAAAGGUUCUUAAAAGGGAUAAUUUCACAAACCUCCUCCAAGGUUUCUGACACUUGCACUGACCCUCAUAAGGUUUUAAAAAUUUCACUGACCACCCUUGCUUUUGAGAUUUGGUAACAAUUCAGUCCAAAUAGGAUUAAAAUAUUAUUUUCAUAGUGAGAUGAGAUUUUUAUUCCAUGAAUGCCUUUGGUCCCUGCAUUAAUAGAAGAUUGCAAAUUAUUAAAAGGUUGAAAUGAUUAGUAAAGUUGAAGGAAUGUAAAUGCAAUUCAGGAACUUUCAAGCACCGCAUGGAAACAUAAGUAAUGUUUUAAUAGCCAUAGCAACGUCUGCCUACAAGUUCUAAACCACCAAAUUUUUUAUUCAACGGCAAGUGUAUAUAAACAUCACAAUUGCACUUACACCCUCAAGAGUAGCAAGAGUUUGGGUACAUAAAAAGUUAUUGUUUUGUGCUGCAUUUAGAGUUCAUAAUGAAAACAUUUGGCAGAAAUUAUGGCCUCUUCAAGCCAUAGGGGGAGAAUCAUGAAAUUCACCCACAUCUUUCAACAACAAAAUACAAAUUUUACUUAAGAUUCAGGAAAAAGACAACAAAAUACAAAUUUUACUUGAGAUUCAGAAAAAACACACCAACAUUUACUUCAACUCUUAAUAUAUUCCUAUUAGGGUAAAUUUUAUAUACAUGGAAAGUGUAUACACUAUCACCGUUAGAUUCAUGAUACAUGUGCAAAAGUUGAAUUUCAAAUCUAAAUUUUGCAUAGUUAUCAGUCAUCCAAAACUAACAUUGUAUAUACUGUUAGUGUUGGAAAGAUUAAUUAUUUCUAUUAUCCCUUACCGUAUAAAUUUACACAUAACAACAAGAUACAUAAAGUAUAAGAAUUUAGCUUUAUUACUAACUCAAAAAUCUACUGAUCAAGCAAAAUAGUUUAUAAUGUAUUGUAGAUAAUAUACUAGUUUUCUUGAAACUAAUUCACAAGAACCUUUUUUAAUUGUAGGCUAAGAUGAAAAGGAAAUCAAACCUUGGUUUCUACUUUAAAUCAUCUUCACUCCCAACAAAUGAACAAUGUCUUCACUUUGUCUCCAUUUUCUUCUUCUUUUUUCAUCUCUAUUUCUUCCCUUCUAGUUAUAUGGCUACAAUAUCAAAAACUUGUUCAAUCAUCCUUGUCAAAUCAGACUAGGCACAAAAAUGGCACCAAAUUUCUUGGCGCCUUUUUGUAACAAAGUUUUAAUCAGUUUAAUUAGACAUUAAAUUUUUGUUAUUCUAGUUAAAUGUAAUUAACUAAUCCAAAUGACGCCAAAUUUUUGUUACCCAAAUUUACGUUAGUUAUUAGUCCCAACUUCAUAGGACAAAGUGGUAAUUUCAGCUACCAUGAUGUAAGCAAAGGGCCCCAAAUCUCUAUCAUGGGAGGUCAAUGAAAUUUUUAAAACCUUAAGGGGUGUUAGUGCAAGUGUCAGAAACUUUAGGGGAGCUAUGUGAAAUUAUCUAAGAUUCAGCACGCAUGUUGCCUAAGUUCAAAUAAUUGCACAUCACUACUUCUUGCACCUGAUCUUCUCAAUCUUUCCCUCUCCUUUUGUCUUUUAAUUUCUUGCUUUUUCUUGGUGGGAUACGAAGAUAUUUGUGAAGAUAGGUGAAAAUAUCACAAUAAAUUUUGAAGCUAAAUCUUUGUGUACAGUUUUAGUACUCUAGCUCUCCCGCGAGAAAAAGGACUAAAAAUAGGUUAAUCAAACAAUACUUUAAAUGAGACAAAUGUAUAUGAAGCAAAGAAGAACCAAUACAAAUUGUCGCCCAACUUUCUAGAAUAUCUCAUUUUAGUUUUUAGAGUUUGAAACAAAAAUCUCAUUUUACAUUUUUUUAAAUUUCAAGUUUACAUAAUAAUCAUGUAAUACUUUCACCUAAGCUUGCUAAAAAUAAGCAUAGUAGCUACGUAUGGAAGCCAAUGCACAAAGAAACUUAGACCUCUAAAUUUUGUACCAUCACGUCUAAUGCCAUUACUAUUAAAAAAGAGAAAAUCAUUUAAAACAUCUCUCACAUUUUGUAAAAUAACUUUUUUUGUCCAUUACUUUUAAAAAUAUAAUUUUACGUCCCUUACAAAUUCACAUUGGUCAAAUUUGGUCCCUACUUAAAUUUCCGACUAGUUUUUUGUCGAAAUUCACCACGUGCCUAACACGUGAUCAUAUUUUAAGGGCAAAAUUGUCAAAUCGAAUUUUAUAUAAUUCGAUUCAUAAUCCCUCACAUUUCAUAAAAUAAAAUUUUUCGUCCCUUACAUUUCACAAAAUGAAUUUUUUCAUCCUUGAUAUUUUUCAAAAUGAAUUUUUUCAUUUUUUAUUGAUCAUGUGUGUGAAUAAUUUUUUUUUAAAUUCAUGUAUAUAUCUAUUUGAUUUCACCUGAACAGCACAAAUAGCAUGUGAAAUCAAAUAGAGAUAUAUUACAUACUAUUCGUACUGCUCAAAUGAAAUCAAAUAGAUAUAUACAUGGGUUUAAAACAAUUGUUAGCUUUUCACUUAUAUUCAUUUUCUUUUACUCGAAAUUUGAAAAUAAAGAAGACAUUUAAUCCUAAAUAUUAUCGAGUGUUUAUAUUGAAUUAAAUUUGGACAGAAAAAAUAAACAAAAGAAAAGUAUGACAAAAAGAAAUAAAUGAUUGGCAUUUUCAAAUUUUAAGACAAUCGUAAGGCAAGUAAUUCAACUGUUGGUCUUAAAAGUAUCGAGUAGAAAUUUUAUAUUUAAACUGAAAUUUGUUAGCACAAUUAUAAAAUUCGGCUUAUGACUCAUUAAUUAGAUGACAUUAUUAUACAAUUCAAUAAAUAAAUUAUUACCAAAAAAGAAAUGUCACAAAUAUUGAAUAGGUUCAAAUGGUGAAAUCAUAUAAAUAUAUACGUAGAUUCAAAUAAAAUUAUUAGUUUUAAACCCCUAUAUAUAUUUAUUGAAUAGCAUGUGUAUAACUACGAUUAGCAUGUUUAGAUGAAAUCCAAUAGAGAUAAAUUAUAUGUUAUUCAUACUGUUCAGAUAAAAUCAAAUAGACAUAUACGUGGGUUUAUAGAAAAAAAAAGCUAUUCAUACACAUGAUCAAUGAGAGAUGAAAACAUUUAUUUUGAAAAAUGUGAGGGAUGGAAAAAUUCAUUUUUUGAAAUGUGAGGAGCGAAACAAUUCAUUUUCUAAAAUAUUAGGGACGAAAAAAUUUAUUUUGUAAAAUGUUAGGAACUAUGAAUCAGAUUAUGUAAACAUUUGAUUUGACAAUUUUGCCCUUAAAAAAUGAUCACAUGCAAGUCACGUGGUGAAUUCCGAUAAAAAACUAGUCAAAAACCUAGGUAGGAACCAAAUUUGAUCAAUAUGAAUUUGUAAGAGACGUAAAAUUACAUUUUUAAAAGUGAGGGACGAAAAAAAUCAUCUUGUAAAAUAUGAUGGACGUUUUGAACGAUUUUUCCAUUAAAAAAAUAAACAAAAAUGUAAUUACACACAAUGAUAAACACAUUUUUGUUAUAUUAGUAAAAGUGAAUGACCAAAAAGUCACUAAACUAUUAAGUAUGACAAGGAUUAGUUAUCAAACCCUUUUUUUUGGUGGCCAUCAAAUCUUUUUUUUUUUUCGUUGGUCACAAAGGUCACUAAACUGGUAAAACCUAACCACUAAGGUCAUUUUGUCAAGCUUCACUCGUAAACACAAUCGAUAAAUUAUUAAAAUUUAACGAUUUUUUUUGGCAAAAUAACCUUUGGCAACCAGAUGUUUUAUCAGUAGAAUUUGACAAAAAGACCUUGUUGACCCGUUUUCACCAGUUUAGUGACUUUUGUGACCACAUAAAAAUUUUGGUGACUAACCCGUGCCAUACUUAAUAAUUUUGCGACCUUGUUACUCUAUCUGUAAAACUCACCUACUCUUGCAUUGUACCAAUAAAAAAUUUUCCAACUCAAGAUUGCCUACCAUUCAACACUGAUCGCAUUUUCAUCAGAUUCUCAUAAAAUCACGUGGUUCUACUGUUACGUUUAUAAAAGAUUUAGGACUAACUUACCGCACCUUAAAACUCUGUUGGGUAAAAAUGUCAAAUACUUGAUAGUUUAAUGACCAUUAAGGAAAUUUGCUCGCAAUAAUCAGAACGCCGUCGUCGUCCCUUGCCAAGCGGAGCAGCAUCUUCUCUGGUUUUGCUGUUUCAGUGUAGGGUUUUGGAAUAGAGGGAAAUUGAUUGCUAGGGUUUAGCGAGGCUGAGAAGAAGAAGAAGAAGAAGGGAAGGAUGAAGCCGGUGGUCGGAAUGGUGGUGUCGAACAAGAUGCAGAAGUCGGUGGUGGUGGCCGUCGACAGACUAUUCCACCACAAGCUCUACAAUCGCUACGUCAAGCGCACCUCCAAAUUCAUGGCUCACGACGAACACAACCAAUGCAACAUCGGCGACCGCGUAUGAACUUUUCUCCUCAUUUCUCCUUUUUUUUGGAAAGAAAAGAAUGAGGCAUUUUUUAUAUUUGCAUUAUUGAUUGCUUCGUGGGAAAAUGGAAAAUUAAGAGGGGGAACAUUCUUUAAUAUCAACUUGUUUGUCAUGGAAAUGUCUUGGAAUCAAACAAAUUGUGGAGUGAUUGAUAAAGAGUUGAUGUCGGGUGAAAGUUUCGACUAUUUUUAGUUCAAUUUCUUUUUCGUUAUUAAGAAUGGAUUUUGAUGUCGGGAAUAUUUGUUCUUUCAAUGUAUUAUGUUGUUAACUGCGUUUUAUAGGGGUUGUGUAUUGGGUAAAGUGUCGUUUUUUCUGAUCAAGGAUGAUUGUGCAUUAAUCAUUUACAGGUCAAAUUGGAUCCUUCCAGGCCUUUAAGCAAGCGUAAGAACUGGGUUGUUGCUGAAAUUUUGAAAAAGGCUCGAAUUUAUACACCUCAAUCCGCUGCAGAUUCAACCAACAUGGCAGAUUUAUCGUCUUCUAUGAGCUCGGGCAGCACUAAGCCAGCUCAAAACUCGUCAUCGUCCGCCUAAGGUUGAGUGAUACUUAUGGAAAUGCAUGCACAACAAUACUGGCUCAUGCAGAAUUGGCACAGAUAAAUAUUGCUGCUCGCUAUGUGUGAUGUGAUGUAUUUCUCUUCCCAAUGCCUAGCAGUUGAUCCAACGUUUUGAGUUCUAGUUAUUGAACUUUCUUGUUUUUGCUAGUUUUGGACUUCCUUGUUUUUCCUUAUUGGCUUAUCCAAGCAGAGUCAGGUGUUGCAUUUAAGAUCAGUUAAGUAUGUCUAGAGUAUUCCAGCAAAAUCAUUAAUUUACAUCUGAUGAAAUGUUUUCAUCUUUUAGGAUGUUGAGGUCUCUCUAGCUCUAUCUUUUCCCUUUGUGGUUAGACAUUAGCCCUAAGACAUGAAAGAAGAAAUUUGCAUUUAGUUAUUCAUUUGAAUGAUGUGUAAUUCAGAUCAAAUGUCAUAUGAUUUUCUCAUAUAGUCUCCUGCCCUCUGAACAAAACCAGUGGUCAAUCACUUCCCUUGGGUAUGGUCUGAUAAAUAUCUAGAAGUAUGAUUCGGAGAUUUAAACUUAAUUUUAUACCAGUAAGCCUUUUCACUGUCAGUGAAUUUGAUUCAAAUGUUUUCAUUAAGCUCCCUGAACCAGCUCAUGCUGUUUAUAGUUGAAAAAGCACUAAGUCUGCAACUGGAGAAGCAAUAGUUAGAAUUGACGUAUAUACGCCCUUCUCCUUGCUGCUUUUCUGGGACUUUCACCAAACCUCUGCCAAGUUGCAAAUGUGCCUUGGUGAACUCUAGAACUACCCUAGGUUGCAGGAAGUUUUUUUAACCAACAAAGGUUGUAAAGUUUUCUUCAAUUUUUGACACGUGCUUUGGCAAGAUUCUGCGGCAUGAGAUUUCAUUUCUGGCAAGGCUUCUUUUGUCUAGGUGUUUUUUUUUUCUCCUUCAUUACUGGUCAUACGUAUCUUUCAUGUUUGAAUGCAGGACACAUGCAGCAUGAGAACAAAUAGCUUGGUGGCCAAAGCACUUAAGCUCACUUUAUAUUGAAAUAUGUUCUGAACUUCAUUGGACUUAUUAAAGAGAACUAUUCUAUAAACACUUCUCAUUCAUCAUCUCAGUUAUGAACAUUUACACUCAAAAUAAGUCUAUCUCUGGAUGGUAAAUAUUUUUUUAGCAUUUAAUACUAUUUAGUUUUUCUCAACUAUCAUAGUGAUGAAGUAAAAACUAAUUAGCGUUUUGCUCUGGAACAGGCUCUUUUAAUUUGCUUAUACCAUGUAGUUAAGUGCAUUGGGUGUACAUAUUGGAAGCAACAGUGAUUUAAUCAGGUCCAUGCAUUAGUAUAGAAUGUGAGGACCCACGGAGCAAUUUUUUAUCUGCAUGAAACCAUAAUUUAAUAGUGAUUUGGUCCAUGGGGUGGUUUUGCAUAAAGGACACCCUAUAUUUGAUGUUUGAUGAUGAUCACUGAUAUGUUUGUGAUUGUAUGAUUUGAUGGUAACUUUCAGAGUAUUGUAAAACUUGAAUAGGAUUUGCUUUCUGCCAGGUGAAGCAUUGGGGAGUACUGGUACUGCAGCUUGUGCUAUGGCCCUAUCGUCAUAGAGGGGAUCACAAAGAUUGAUACUGGACUGCAUCUUGAUUUAGUUUUUGUUACCAUCCCUACUGUAGAAGAGGACCAUGCUGAUUUGAUGGUGGUUUGCCGAGGAUUUGUCUCCAUCUGUAUACUGAUCAGAAUUAUAAAUAAACUACUGGGCCAAAAUAGUUUGCAUUAGAAUUCGUGACUUCUUGUAGUAAUUCCAUGAUCUUCAAACCCUUCCAUCCCAUCCCCCAUCGGUCUUUCCUCUUCCUUCUUCUUUUCCCCUGGAGGAAAAAGGCCAAAAAGGUCAAACCAGAGAUUAUCUACUCAUAAUUGUCGACUGAAAUAGCUGCUUUUUUGGCUUUUUGUUCUUUUGUUGACUGGAAUGGCUAAUACUGGAGUUCCAUAUAACUUUUUUCUUUGCUGCUCUGCUAGCGGUUUCAUUUACAAGUGAUUCAAAAGGACAGUGAUGAAUUUGUCAGUCAGGCUUUGUGAAUUUCAUUAUCUCAAUGAUGCUUAAUAAUAUGGUAAUUACUGGUCUCAAAAGUCAAGGUUCUCAGUGAAUUGUUUAAAUAGUACCUAAUCUUAAACACAAGUGGAAUUGAUUAUGGAAGUAAUGGCAGUAGAUCCACUUUCCCUGAGUAAAGCUUCAUACAAGGUAAAUGGUUGGCUGAUUCUUUACUUGAAAUCUGAAGACGAAGUCACUACAGGUGAUGUAACUGAACUUUGUACAAAACAUAUUGAAGUAUAAUUGCUACUCCAAGAGCAAUCCGGAUCGUUGAUUUGAACCACUUGGCAAUCAUGAAGGAUGAACAAGCUUCUACUUGUAAUUGGGCAGACAGACAAAGUAAAGAUUUCCGAAAGCAAACCAUGGCAUAUUGCAGGAUAAACCUGGGGAAGGAGUCCGGGAGGGGGCUUCUUGAGCUAAAAGUGCCACUGGUAAAAGAGAAAUCAACCCAAAAUUUGUUUGCUGUAAUGAACUGAAAACUUGGACUUCAUGUCAAAGACAAUAGUUGAUGCGGAAAAGGGCAUCUGGGUAUUGGUACUGUGUAGAUCCAUCUCAUUUCUGCUAAACAUUUCCCUUUUUUCAUCUUUCCUAAUGACCAAAUAAUUUCGGGAUUGACAUAAAACAUCCUGAUGCUGUUGAUCCUUUAGCUUUUAAUGCCUUUGUUUCACCGUUCCAUUCAAAUUUCUCAGUUUAGUUCACAGAAAAUUAUCCAGCUCGUGGACUCUCGUCUUCUGUUCUGAUUCAGGCAACCUGGUUCUUGUUUUAGAUGACACAAUGAAGGUCACAAACUUAUAAUAGAUUGGAGAUGAAUUUCAGAAGCUGGUAUGCUACUCAGACAUUUUGCGAGUGAUAACAUAUAUAUCUUCGAGCCUCCUUUCUUUCAGCUCUCUGUUUUCUCAUCCAGAAAAUUACUAGACUCGCUUUAUGGAACAAUCACCGGUUUGUAUCAUUCUUGCAUCCCAAUUCAAUAAACUUGUGAUACCUGUAUUAGAUGACACCACGAAGGUUAAAACCUUAAAAUAGGUACUGAUAAACAGUGAGUUCUAGCAUGAGGUUUGGAUUUUUGCACAUUAUAUCAUAUGCGUCUUCAAUUUUUUCCUUGCCUACAGGCAAAGACCCAGCAAACAACCUUUUGUGCAUUUACCAAAAGAAUGGUGGCAUGUCAAAUUGAGAACAAUGUUUUCUCAUCCAGCUAAAUCUUGCUAAAUGCACAAGUUUUUACCAAUUUCCUUAUUUUGACAUUCUUCCUCAUUUCUUCUACACCAUGCCAGUUACCAGAUUCAGCAUAAAUCAUACUCAACAAAGUAUAAUUGGCAGCAUUGUCAGGCUCCGACUCAAUCAGCUUAUGCACCAACAGUUCCGCAACUUCCAGCUUUCCAUGAAGCUUACAAGAAGAAACCAAGGAACUCCAUAUUCUGGGACUUGGUUUCAUAGGCAGUCUAGACACAAGAUCACAAGCAUCUUCCAGUUUCCCCGCCCUUCCAAGAAGAUCAAUAUAACAAGCAUAAUGCUCUAUAGUAAGUGAUAUUUUCUCAUCUUUCAUCGUUUCAUUAAAGAGCUUGUAUCCCUCUUCCACAAGGCCAGCAUGGUUGCAAGCUGUCAUGACUUCAAGAAGUGCAAUUGCAUCAGCUUUCAUCCCACUCUCUUGCAUCUCACCAAAGAGUUGCAAGGCAUCCUCCCCGCAACCAUACAGACCAUAAGCACUAAUAAUUGCAGUCCAUGAAACAGAAUCCGUAAGUGUCAUCUCCUUGAAAAUCUUAACCGAAUCCUGAAGACAACCACACUUGGCAUACAUACUAAUGAGCGAGUUUUGGAUAUUCAAUUCAGAUAUCAAGCAAGAUUUCAGGACAUAGCCAUGGACUCCACCUGCAUGGCAUGUUGACAAGAGAUUGGUACAGGCAGAAAUCACAGACAAUAAUGUAACACUAUUGGGUUGAAAUCCCUUUUUCUGCAUUUCAUUAAAGAGCUCUAGAGCUUCUUCAGCAGUUUCUUUCUUCCGUGAAUAGCCUGCAAUUAUACAACUCCACAUCACAACAUCCUUUGUAGUUGAUCUUUCAAAAAUAAGCUUUGCAGCCCAAAUUUCUCCACAUUCACAAUACAUAUGCAUGAGAGCUGAGCGGAAUCUAAAAUCCCUAUCAAACUCGUGACGAAAAGCAUAUCCGUGGAUCUCUGUUCCACGAUUAACUGAACCAUACUUAGCACAUGCUGGUAAAAUACUAAUUACUGUCACCCUAUUUGGUUUAACUUUUUCAACCUGCAUUGCACGAAAACAAUCCAGUGCCUUGGCAUAGUCAUGAUCUGCCACACAUCCCGUGAUCAUAGCAGUCCAUGAGACUUCAUUUCUAACUUCCAUUCUAUCAAAUACACGAAAAGCAGUCUCCUGAUCAUGACAUCUCCAGUAAAAAUCUACCAAUGCGGUUGACCUGAAAACCGACCAGUCAAAUCUUUCAUCCACUGUAACAAUAGCAUGAAUCAAUCUUCCUAAUCGAAAAUUUUCUGUCUGACUACAAGCUGAUAAAACGCUAGCAAUCAACUCGGGCUUGGGCUCAAAUCCACAAAUAUACAUAUCCUUAAACAUCUUCAUUGAUUCCAACAAAAACCCAUUUUGCAUAUAGCAAUUUAUCAUCGAAUUCCAAGAAAUGGUGUCUCUCUGAGGCAUUGUGUCGAACAUUUUGUAUGCACUCUUUGUAUCUGAGAAUUUUGCAUACAUAGAGAUGAGAGAAUUCGAAACUGUAGAUUCUGAAUCAAACCCAUUUUUAAAGGCAUAGCAGUGAAGCUGAAGGCCCAAGGGAUUGUGGGUUUGGGAACUUGCAGUGGCUUUGAUGAUCGACGGCAGUAUAAAGACGCUGCUUUCAUGGUUUGGAAAGAAGGGGUGGACAUGGUCUUUGAAAAGGUUGAUGGCUUUGUCAUAGAGCCCUUUAGCCAAGAAGUCCUUGAUUUGGGCGCGAGCAUCAGCAAUUGAUGAUGUUAUGGGACCUGACGCUGAAGCUGAAGCUGAGGUGAAACGUCUUAUUAUUUGGUGCAUUUUGUUGGGUCUAAUUUCAUAGCCAUUUUAUACGAUUAGAUGCCAGACUCAACAAUCCGUGCCAUAUCGCUUCUUAUUUUAGAGCUUCAAUUUGGUCUUUUGUCAGAUACAAAACGUUUUUGCCAAUUGCAGUUAUCACACCGCCAAUUGGCAAAAACGUUUUGCCAGUUGGCUGGAUGGGUAAGUUUUGUGGGUUCCUCUUAGAUUUACCUCUUAGGUCUUCUUAGCUUUAACCCUCAGUCAAAUUUAAUUAGUUGGGUGUGUGUAUUAUAUCGUCUUCGAGAAAAGAAAAAAAAAAGUUAUCACACCGCAAGUACUACUAAGAUUUUGGUUUGGUGAUUAGAGUUAAGGCUCGUAUCAUGUAUUUUAUAUUUUGAGAAGAUCUUACGGUAUAAAUUUUCGGACAAAGACUUAUUUGGGAGCGAAUAUAGUAUAAUUAUUUUGAAUGAACGGAUAUACCAACAUUUUUUUUUUUUCAAAAUCUCAGACCCUUUAAGACCAUCGAGAAUCCUUACACUUGAAAUCAAACCACAAUUUGGCCGAUACAAGAUGUUCAUAAAAGAUGUUUUAAUUUAAAGACAAAUCCAUCAUACUUUGUAUUCUGACUUGUUUUGUAAUUUGUUUUAUUCUACAUUUUUCUUGAAGAAACUAGAAAAUUUAUGCCUAACUUCUCAAUUUGCCUAAAAAUUUUGAGUCAAUAACCAUCUUCUAGUUAACACUAUAGUCCAAGUGAUGUUAUACAUAAGCAAAUAAGCAUUAACUGCCACCAUCUCCCUAGUGCAAUAACUACAUAAGCAUAUUGAUAUUUUGCCUCAAAAGAAAAAAAGCACAUUGAUAUUUCACAUAUUAAACUGACUAAGGUUUUUUCAUCUUGAGUUUCAAGCCCCGUUCACAUAUGGUCAACAUAAAUUUUACAUAAACUCAACUUUGGGCUUGAACCUCAUAGAUUUCACCUUUCAGCUUCACAUAUGCUAAGCCCUUUAAACUCAUUUUACAACUGAAUUUUCUUGAGGAGCUGAGUGGGAGAUCUCAUCUAACGAAUGCUUGCAUCAACCAGUUUUUUUUUUUUUUUUUUUUUGACAUCUUUCAACUUUCAAAUUCAUCAAAUUCAUAAUUAGGGGAAAAGAAGGAACUCUUAUCUGGCCAUCUAGGAGAUUUAACUUAACAAAUGCGUACGUAUGGGAAUGAAUCACUUGAAAUCAAAGCUUAGCUUUCAGAAGACACAUCUGGGAGCAAUAAAACAGCCAUAUCCACGACUUCUCUGCUCCUUUUGUUUGCUCGACCAAACCUCAGUCUUCCUCCCUGUCUUUCUAAUUGCUUUCAUUAUGAUCUUGAGAUCAACAUAGCCCAUCACAGUGAUUUUGUUCAAAAUCACAUUUGUCUCUACACAAGUAAUACCUACAAGACAUGCAUUAGAUACCAUAACCCUCUACAAUUCGCUUGAUCAAAUCCACUAAAAUCCCAAAAAAAAAAAAAAAGGAAAGUGGAAAAGUUUUAUGAGGAAUUAAAAACAAAUAUAACCCACCUUUAAUCUUCCACAAUUCUUUUUGAAUUGCUUUCUCGCAUGCUUUGCAAUGCAGGCGUACUUUCAACUCGAAAACCUGAAAAAAAAAAAAAAAAAAAUUUCCCCAAAAGUUUUCAGUUGUUUAGAGGACUUUUACUAACAUGAGAAAUAUAUAGAGUAAAAUAAGACAACGAAAUGUGGAACCUCCAUUAAUGGCUAGUCUUCUGAUUCAGCUAUCUGCAAGAGAAAUGCACAUUCAUAUAUACUAGCUAGGAAAGUGCAAGAGGGAAUAUAUAGCGGGUGAUUAUCAGAAGGGUGGCUGAAAUGAUUGUUGGUUUUAUCAAUUAUGAGCAAGUAAUCAUAUGAUCAUAGCAUGCUUGUGACUUUUGAUAGUCCAUUUUUCAAGUAGGUAUUAGUCCACUUUAAACCUUAUGAUGGCCACCUAACUAACUUGAAUUCUAAGUCAGUGAUUUUAGUACUUUAAUAAUGUAUAACUAAUUAAAUAAAUCCACUUCUAAUGAACAGCGACAGGUUUCAAACCCUCUAGGCCACUACCCUUUUUGCAAACUAUGCUGUAAACAUAAAAAAUUUAGGCACCUUGAUCACAACAAGCCGCAGUCUGACAUUGAAUCUCUUUCAGAGCUAUUCUAUGGGAUUCGGCUACUUCAAUUUGAGAUCAUACCAAUUUCACGUAUAUAUACUGUUUGUAGUUUUUGUUGCAAUAUCCAUGCAUGCUUUUCUAUCUCCUUUAAUUUUUUGGUGUAAAGUUUUUCAAAACAAGUUUUUGUACAGAGAUGGAGGUGACGAAGCAGUUCAUAUCCCUAAAGUAUUUUGAUUCAAUCUUUAAUUUGUACUUGCAUGUAAAGGGAAGUUUAGUUUCAAUAGAUACAAUUAAUUGCCUUUGUGUGUUGUGGAUCAUGUUGAGGUGAUCUUCACUAGGGAAACUAGCUAAUCGAAUUUCGAUAAUAUUGUUUAAAUAGAAAGCUUUCCAUAUUAGCCCUGACAAUACCGAUUAUAUCUUAUCAGCUAAUAUGUGGAUUUUCCAUUUCGAGUUACAAGGUUCCAUUUACUUUUGAUAGUGUGAUGCGCUUCGUUGCACGACUGUGUGACCUACCAUGCACGAAUAUCAUUUUACAAUACUUCUCGUAUAUAUGGAAAGAGAGCAAAAUCCAACCUUUUGAUGUUGUUCAUUAUUUUUUCACUUUUUUUGAAAUGCGAGCCCUACCAUCCUUUCACCAGCAGAUUAAAAUGUAAAAGUUUGUCACAUAAAUUUUAUUUUAUUUUGUCAAUCGUCACUUUAUCUAUAAUAUUCUACACUAUCCUAAUCUAAAGGGGAGAUCCAACUGGACCUAAAGGGAUCGAUGGGGAUUGAACCACCGCCGAACCAGACGGGUGCACCACGCACCCAUUUAGAUUUUUUAAGAAGCCACUUAACGUGGCAAAUGGUAGGAGGCCCAACAGGUCAGGAAGUUUGUUCAGAGGGUGCAAUAUUAAUAUUAAUUUUAAUUUAAAAUGUAUUCGUUUGAAAAUUUUUAGUAUAAUUAAAUAUUUGUCACAAGUACACCAAUUAAUUUAAUUAAUAUUACAUAUAUUUUUUAAAAAAAUUAUUUACUGCUUGUGAUUAAUCAUUUGAAAUUAUUAUCAAGCCAAGUUAUUUUAUAAAAUUGCAUAGAACUUUAAAAUAUGUAUAAGACUAGUAGAUGUAAAGAUUUAGUAACCUGAACUAUAUUUGUUUUUUCUUAAAAAAGUGAGAUUUGACCCAAUUCAUAUUCAUUUUUUUACUAAAAAAAAGGUAGGGUUUGAUGUUUUUAUAUAUAAAUAGUGGGUCAUAUAGUGAUUUCAAGCUAAAAUGUGAUUAUAAGUUUAGGUUAAGAUCAAAUUUUGUCAAAUUGAAUUUAUAAGAAAUAUAAAAUUAAUAUUUUAAGAGUGAAUGACAAAAACGUUCAUUUAACAAAAUGUGAGAGACAUUUAAACGAUUUUCCCAUUCAUCGAUUCUCACUUGAUGGUCUGGAAUGACACUUUUCUUAAAACCAUGAAAAGGAUCAUUUGACUAAGUAAUUUUAUCAUUUGACUAAGUAAUUUUAGGGAUAAUUUCACAAACGUCCUCGACAUUUCUAACACUUGCACUAAUACCUCCUAAAGUUUUAAAAAUUUCACUGACCACCCUUGCAUUUGAGAUUUUGAUAACAAUUCAGUCCAAAUAGGAUUAAAAUAUUAUUUUCAUGAGUGAGAUGAGAUUUUUAUUCCAUGAAUGCCUUUGGUCCUUGUAUUAGUAGAAGAUUGCAAGUUAUUAAAAGGUUGAAAUGAUUAGUAAAGUUGAGGCGAUGUAAAAACAGUUUAGGAACUUUCAAGCACCACGUGGAAACAUAAAUAAUGUUUUAACAGCCAUAGCAACGUCUAGUGCAAGUUCUAAACCACCAUUUUUUAUUCAGCAGCAAGUGUAUAUAAACAUCACAAUUGCAUUUACACCCUCAAGAGCAGCAAGAGUUUGGUACACAUAAAGUUAUUGUUUUGUGCUGCAUUUAGAAUUCAUAAUGAAAACAUUUAGCAGAAAUUAUGGCCUCUUCAACCCAUAGGGAGAAUCAUUAAUUUCACCCCCAUCUUUCAACAACAAAAUACAAAUUUUACUUAAGAUUCAGAAAUACACACCAACAUUUACUUCAACUCUUAAUAUCUUUCUAUUAUCCCUUACUGUAUAAAUUUACACAUAACAACCAGAUACAUGAAGUCCCAGAAUAUAGCUUUAUUACUAACUCAAAAAUCUAUUGAUCAAGCAAAAUAGUUCAUAAUGUAUUGUAGAUAACAUACUAGUCUUCUUGAAACUAAUUCACAAGAACAUUUUUUUAUUGUAGGUUAAGAUGAAAGGGAAAUUCAAACCUUGGUUUCUACUGUAAAUUAUCUUCACUCCCAACAAAUGAACAAUAUCUUCACAUUGUCUCCAUUUUCUUCUUCUUUUUUCUUUGUUUUUUUUUUCAUCUCUAUUUCUUCUCUUCUAGUUAUAUGGCUACAAUAUCAAAAACUUGUUCAAUCAUCCUUGUCAAAUCAUACUAGGCACAAAAAUGGCACCAAAUUUCUUGGCGCCUUUCUGUAACGAAGUUUUAAUUAGUUUAAUUAGACAUUAAAUUUUUGUUAUUCUAGUUAAAUGUAAUUAACUAAUCCAAAUGACGCCAAAUUUUUGUUACCCAAAUUUAAGUUAGUUAUUAGUCCCAACUUCAUAGGACAAAGUGGUAAUUUCAGCUACCAUGAUGUAAGCAAAGGGCCCAAAAUCUCUACCAUGGGAGGUCAAUGAAAUUUUUAAAACCUCAAGGGGUGUUAGUGCAAGUGUCAGAAACUUUAGGGUAGCUUUGUGAAAUUAUCUAAGAUUCAGCACGCAUGUUGCCUAAGUUCAAAUAAUUGCACAUCACUACUUCUUGCACCUGAUCUUCUCAAUCUUUCCCUCUCCUUUUGUCUUUUAAUUUCUUGCUUUUUCUUGGUGGGAUACGAAGAUAUUCGUGAAGAUAGGUGAAAAUAUCACAAUAAAUUUUGUAGCUAAAUCUUUGUGUACAGUUUUAGUACUCUAGCUCUCCCGCGAGAAAAAGGACUAAAAAGAGGUUAAUCAAACAAUACCUUAAAUGAGACAAAUGUAUCUGAAGCAAAGAAGAACCAAUACAAAUUGUCGCCCAACUUUCUAGAAUAUCUCAUUUUAGUUUUUAGAGUUUGAAACGAAAAUCUCAUUUUACAUUUUUUUUUUAAAUUUCAAGUUUACAUAAUAAUCAUGCAAUACUUUCACGUAAGCUUGCUAAAAAUAAGCAUAGUAGCUACUCAUGGAAGCCAAUGCACAAAGAAACUUAGACCUCUAAAUUUUGUACCAUCACGUCUAAUACCAUUACUAUUAAGAAAAUAAACAAAAAUGUAAUUACACACAAUAAUAAACACAUUUUUGUUAUAUCAGUAAAAGUGAAUGACCAAAAAGUCACUAAACUAUUAAGUCUGACAAGGAUUAAUUAUCAAACUUUUUUUUAUGGCCUCAAAGGUCACUAAAUUGGUAAAACCUAACCACCAAGGUCAUUUUGUCAAGCUCCACUCGUAAAACAAUUGAUAAAUUAUUAAAAUUUAACGAUUUUUUUUGACAAAAUAACCUUUGGCAACCCAUUGUUUUAUCAGUAGAAUUUAACAAAAUGACCUUACUAAUCCGUUUUCACCAGUUUAGUGACCUUUGUGGCCACAUAAAAAGUUUAGUGGUUGUCUCGUGUCAUACUUAAUAGUUUAGUAACCUUUCUGGCCAUUCACUUUAUCUGUAAAAUUCACAAACUCUUGCAUUAUACCAAUAAAGAAUUUUUCAACUCAAGAUUGCCUACCAUUCAACACUGAUCGCAUUUUUAUUAGAUUCUCAUAAAAUCACGUGGUUCUACUGUUAUGUUUAUAAAAGAUUUAGGACUAAUUUACUGCACCUUAAAACUCUAUUGGGUAAAAAUGACAAAUACCUGAUAGUUUAAGGACCAUUAAGAAAAUUUGCCAGAAGAAGAAGACAACCAAUGCAACAUCGGCGACCGCGCAUGAACUUUUCUCGUCAUUUCGAACGAGGCUUUUUUUAUAUUUGCAUUAUUGAUUUCUCAGUGGGAAAAUGGAAAAUUAAGAGGAGGAACAUUCUUUAAUAUCAACUUGUUUGUCAUGGAAAUGUCUUGGAAUCAAACAAAUUGUGGAGUGAUUGAUAAAGAGUUGAUGUCGGGCGAAAGUUUCGACUAUUUUUAGUUGGGUAAAUUAUAUUUUACCCCCUAAUAAAUACAUGACAUAUUAACCCCGUAUGAUUUUUAUAUUUUACCAUAUAAUCCACUUAUGGUUUAAUAUUUUACCAUAUAACCCCUUAUGAUUUCUAAAAUAUACACAUAACCCCCCUUGACUAAUACAUAAAUUUCAAUUUUACAGAAGGGUAAUUUUGACAUUUUAGAUGACGCCGUUAUGAAUGAUCAUUCCUGUCACUUUAAUCCAAACCAUAAGGGGGUUAUGUAUAGCUUUUGAAACCAUAGGGGGGUUAUAUAAAAAAAAAUGCUAAAUCACAGGGGGUAAAGUGAAAUUUGCCCUUUUUAGUUCAAUUUCUUUUUCGUUAUUAAGAAUGGAUUUUGAUGUCGGGAAUAUUUGUUCUUUCAAUGCAUUAUGUUGUUAACUCCGUUUUAUAGGGUUGUGUAUUAGUUAAAGUGUCGUUAAAUCCGUGCCCAUAUCGCUUCUUAUUUUAGAGCUUCACUAUGGUCUUUUGUCAGAUACAAAACGUUUUUGCCAAUUGCAGUUAUCACAAUGCAAAUACCACUAAGAUUUUGGUUUGGUGAUUAGAGUUAAGGCUCGUAUCACGUAUUUUCUAUUUUGAGAAGAUUUUACGGUAUAAAUUUGCAGACAAAGACUUAUUUGGGAGCGAAUAAUUAUUCUGACUAAGUAAACAUACCAUCAUUUUUUUUUCAAAUCUCGAGCUCUUAAGAUCAUCGAGAGUUUUUACACUUGAAAUCAAACCACGAUUUGGCCGAAACAAGAUGUUCAUAAAAGAUGUUUUAAUUUAAAGACAAAUUCAUAUAUUUUUACACAGAGUUGCAAGCCCUGUUCACAUAUGGUCAACAUAAAUUUUAGGAAAAAUCGUCCAAAACGUCCCUCACAUUUUGUAAAAUGACUUUUUCCGGCCCUCACUUUUAAAAGUGUAAUUUUAUAUCCCUUACAUAUUCACAUCGAUCAAAUUUGGUCCCUAAUUAGGUUUCCGAUCAUUUUUUGGCCAGAAACAUCAUGUGCAAGGCAAGUGAUCAUUUUUUAAGGGUAAAUUUGUCAAAUUAUAUUUUACAUAAUCUGAUCUAUAGUUCUCCACAUUUUAUAAAAUAAAUUUUUUCGUCCCUCACAUUUUAUAAAAUAAUUUUUUUCAUCCCUCACUUUUCACAAAAUGAAUUUCUCCAUCCCUACAUUUCAAAAAAUGAAUUUUUCAUUUCUCACUAAUUAUGUGUGUGAAUACAUUUUUUUUUAAAUACAUGUAUAUAUCUAUUUGAUUUUGUUUAAUAAUAAUAGCAUAAACACAUGUAUGUACUUGGCCCAACUUGUGGGCUAUCUUCUCUUUUUGUAUGAUUAUGACUAAUAUUUACCAAUAGAACCAUAAUUUGCAUAGUCUUAUUAUAUUCUGACCGAAAAUAGCUUGAUUGGUCAACUUGACAAUGAAUGCAAGAUUUUUUACUAGCUAAUACUAGAUGAAAUCAAAUGAUCAUGUAUAAUAUAUGGUAUUCGUAUUAUUAAGUGAAAUCAAAUAGACACAUACAUAUAUUUAUACUAUUCGUAUUAUUAAACAAAAUCAAAUAGACAUAUAUAUGUAUUUAAACAAAAUAUAUUCACACACAUUUUUUUAAGGGUUUCCCUCACACACAUAAUUAGUGAGGGAUGGAAAUAUUCAUUUUUUGAAAUGUGAUGGAUGGAGAAAUUUAUUUUGUGAAAUGUGAGAAAUGAAAACAUCAUUUUAUAAAAUGUGAGGGACGAAAAAAUUUGUUUUAUAAAAUGUAGAGGACUAUAGAUUAGAUUAUGUAAAAUAUAAUCUGACAAAUUUACCCUUCAAAAAUGAUUACGUGCCUUGCACGUGAUGGAUUCCAGCCAAAAAAUGAUCGGAACCUAGUUAGGGACUAAAUUUGACAAAUGUGAAUAUGUAAGGGACAUAAAAUUACACUUUUAACAGUGAGGGACGAAAAAAGUCAUUUUACAAAAUGUGAAGGACGUUUUAGACGAUUUUACCUAAAUUUUACAUAGAUUCAACUUUGGGCUUGAACCUUAUAAAAUUCACCUUUGAGCUUCAUAUUAACUAAGCCCUUUAAACUCAUUUUUUACAACUCAAUUUUCUUGAGCAACUGAGUGGGAAAUCUUUAUCUAAAAAAUGCUUGCAUUAACCAGUUUUUUUUUUUUUUUAAACAUCUUUCAAAUUUCAAGUCCAUCAAAUUCGUAAAUCCUGGGACUUAUCAACAUUCCAGCCAAACCUUAAUGAAAUAAGGGGAAAAUAAGGAACUCUUAUCUGGCCAUCUAGGGGAUUUAACUUAACAAAAUUACCUUUGUGUGUAUACAUAUGGGAAUGAAUCACUUGAAAUCAACGCUUAGCUUUCAGAAGACACAUCUAGGAACCCCACAAAACAGCCAUAUCUUGACUAUAUAGGAAAGUGCAAGAGGGAAUAUAUAGCAAGUGAUUAUGAGAAGGUGGCUGAAAUGAUUGUUGGUUUUAUCUAGAGGUGUCAAAAUGGGUGACUUGGGCGGGUUUGGGUUGGGUAAAAUGGGUAAUGGAUAUAAGUGAGUCAACCCAUUUAUACCCAUUUAAUUAGAUGGAUAUAAAUGGGUAAGUCAAAAAAUAAAUUGGGCAACCCAAUUAUCCAUUUAUAACCCAUUUAUUUUAAUUUUUUGUAAACUCAUUUAAAUUCAUUUUUGCAAACUAAGUUAUCAAUUUAUACCGUUCUUUGUAUCCAUCAUUAGUUUUAAAUAUUUACUUAUAAUGCUCAAUCAGCCUAAUUAACAAUUUUUUUUCAUUUAUACUCUAUGUCGCAAAAUUACAUAUUACUUAAUAAUUGAAUAAUAAUAGUACAAAAAUUUGAACUAAGUACUAUAAAAGUUAAUAUAAAAACUUAAUCCAAAAAUUUUGAACCCCUAACAUUUUUUUCAUAUAUAAAUUUAAAAUUUCGUUUUAGAAAGAUAAAAAAAGAUGUUAAAACUUAUCAUAAAUUGGUAAUGCUGAAAAUGAGCAAGUAAAUAAACUAAGAGAAAAUAAAAUAAUAAAAUAAAACCAACAAAUAAUAAUAAUAAUGAAACAAAGGUAGUUAACAUCGUGACAAAAUGAAAAUUUGAAAAAAAAAAGGGUGGGGAAGAGAAUUCUAAAUGGGUUAAUUAGGUUUGAUAGGUUACCCAAUAAUACCCAUUACUAAGUGGGUAUUAUUGGAUAACCCAUUUAUACCCAUAUACAAAAAUUUAAGAUACCCAUACCCAUCUAUUUAUGAGCGGGUAUGGAUAAAUUUAGUUAAAUGGGUUAGUUUGCCACCUAUAGUUUUAUCAAUCGUGACCAAGUAAUUACGAUUGGUAGCAUGCUUGUGACUUUUGAUGGUCCAUUUUUUCAGUAUAUAUAAGUCCACUUUAAACCUUAUGAUGGCCAACUGACUUGAAUUCUAUGUUAGUGACUUUUUUAGUACUUUAAUGUGUGACUAAUUAGAUAAAUCAACUUCCACUGAACAGCAGUAGAUUUCAAACCUCUCGGCCGCUACCCUUUUAAAAUUUAGGAAAAAUUAUUUUUCCAAUAGAACUUUUAAUAAAAGUGCUUAAUAUGUGUUUAGUGUCCGUUUGGAUUAGCUGUUUUUUAGGGGUAUUUUUGAAAAAUUUUGCUGUAGCAGGGUUUUUAGAUUAUAUUUUGGGAUAUUUUCAGAAAAUAUUUUGGGAUAUUUAAGAGUAGGAGAGUUUCUAGAAUAUAUUUUGAGAUAUUUUUUAAAAUUUUAAACUAAUUUUUAGAUUACCUUUUAGAGUACUUUUUAAAAAAUUUUUAUUGUAUUUGAAAAACACUCCCAGUCUGGAUACAUUAAUUCAAUAAGUACUUAAUGUAUUGGAUAAUAUAUAAUUUGAAAUUUUUAUAUGUAUUUAUCUCUUUAUUUAGUUGAUAAUAUAGGAUAAAAUGAUUAAAUUAAAUAUUUAUUUUAAAUCACAAACGUACUCUAAAAGUAUCAAAUUUGAGCUUUUGCUAAAAGUGCUUUUAGGACCAAAAGUUCCACUCCUAAUUUUAUGGAAUAAUGUUUACCAAAUAACACCUAAAAGUAUUCUUUUAACAAAAGCACCGUAGUCCCAAACGGGCCUUAGUCACCUUCACCACAACAAGCUACAAUUUGACAUGAAUCUCUUUCAGAGCUGCUCUAUGGGAUUCGAUUUCUUCAAUUUAAGAUCCAUACCAAUUUCACUUGUAUAUAUAUAUAUAUAUAUUGCUAUCCAUGCAUCCUUUCCUAUCUCCAUUUUUUUUUUCUGUAAAUUUUUUCGAGAUAAGCAUUUGUAUAGAGAUGGAGGCGGAUUGACGAAGAGGUUCAUAUCCCUAAAGCAUUUUGAUUCAAUUUUUGUACUUGUAUAUAAAUUGGGCUAAUAAUGUGUACAACACUGGACUAUCAAAGGAAUGUUUAUUUCGCUUGCAAUUCCUGUUAUUGGACAUCUAAAAAGCUUAAAUGUUACAUGAUAAAAAUACAUUAGAAAGAAAGAGAAAGUAGCAUUCUGUAAUAUAUUUUGUUUCAAGGCUCUAUUAUAGAAAUGGUAAGAGCAAUUGCAAAAAGUUUUAACACUUUUAGUUGCAAGAUUAGAAGGAAUAUUAUCAAAAUUCAGGAGGGGUAUCUAUGGAGCAAUUCUAAAAUAUCUAAAUUUUUUUUAAUAAAAUUGAGAGGUGCAAUUCUGUACAAUUUUUUUUUAAUAAAAUCGAGAGGUGCAAUUGCACCCCGUGGAAUCAACGUGGCUCCACCAUUCCCUAUAAUUAUCUACUACUACAAACGUGAAAUAUUUUUUGAAAAAGAAUUACUUUCAUAAGAUAAGGCGCCCCAAUAACUAAAUACAGUAAUAUGAGGGUUAGAAGUGUACUUUCACUUUUUACUUUCAUUUUACUCAUUCACGUUACAAUUGGCUUUAGAAAAUGCUAAUUCCACACUUUGUACAAGUUGCAAUACUAAUAGUACAAGCCAUUAGUGCAUCCAAUGUGUUGUGUUAUACUUAGGAUGGUUCUAGUGUAGAUAGGAGUGGGCAAAAUUAUCCGUUAAUCCGAAAACUCGUCAUAUUCAAUCCGAAAAUUAGGAUACAUGAUUUAUAUUAUUUGAUCCGGUUAAAAAAGAGUCCGAUACCCACUGAGAUGGGAGGCAGAUUAAAAUCACAUAAUUAAAAACCCAGGGUUCACGACCCAACCCGCCCCAUAUAUAUAUAUAUAUAUAUAAUAUUUUUUAAUUUAUAUAUAUAUUAUAAAAUAAUAAUUUAGAGCUGAAUAAAUAAUUUCAUUGAACAAAUUGCAUCACAAAUAUAAGAAACUAUAGUUUAUUUACAAGAUUCAUUUGUAAAGGUUACGAUCUUAUGUUUUAUAGAAAAAAUUUUAAUUAAUGUGAAACAUAUAUUUAAAAAAAUAUGCCCACUUCUUUUAAAAAAAGUCUAUUGUUACUGUAAGGGGAGAAAAGAGCUCUUUCGCUAACGAGUCCUAUAUAUUUCAUCGAUUAUCGUGCAGGAAUGGACUGAAAAAGCUUCGUCUUUUCUUUGAUCUGUAAGGAGCUUGACGUUUACAGGUACUUGUCCAUUUCCGUCUUCGUUCCGUCUUCGUAAUAUUCAAUUCCGUCUAAGUCCCGAAUGUUCAUUUCUCAUUGACUGCUGAAGCAACAUGAUGUGGGUCCGUACAGAAAAGGUAAAACCCUCAAUUCCGUCUCCAUCCCGAAUAUUCAUUUCUCAUUGACUGCUGAAGCAAGUAACAUGACGUGGGUCUGUACAGGAAAAAGUAAAACCGUCUAAUAAAUUUUUAAUAACAUCGAGUUGGACUGAUCUCGGCUAAAAAAAUGUAUCUUUUUUUUUUCUUGACACUGCACAACACGACAGGUAUAGGGAAAGGGAUACAAGUUCAAGUGACCUAUUCGAAUAGAUGGAAAUUAAAUCAUUAUCGGACUAGUGAUCUAAGCACUUGUUGAAUUUAGACAAAAUCAUGUAUUAAGUGAUAAAUGAUGGAAGUCAAGGUUCAAAUAUACCUACACUAGUUUUUUUUGCUCAUUGCUCCAUGUCAGAUUAUCGUGUAAAUAGGAUUGGCUAUAGGCUUGUAGCUGAAGUUUAAGGGACUUUUAGCCAAGUGAGUUUGUUAUAGCAAACUCAUGUAAGGGAACUUAGGCAUGGCUAAAGUAUUUCCGAAGCCAAUCUAGAAAUAAAGUAGACAGUGGAAUUUGAAGCCCAGAGUGGAAAACUGAAUUUUAUUUUAUUUUUUUGUGUUUUAACUCGAGCUCGAUGGCCAUACACAGUGCUCGAGCUUGACUCGAAGCAUUGUAUUUCAAGCUCGAGCUCAGCUCGUUGGAGAUCGAGCAGUACUCGAGCUCAAUUACUGAAAUGACUCAUUCAACCUUCACAAAUUUUAUAACGAUUUCAAACAAGCAACCCAAAAAAGUCAUCUGAUUAUUCCUAAAACAAUAAUUAAAUAUUUGCGCGAGUACUCUUUAGAGCUCGUCGAGCUCAUGAGCACAUAUUAUUCCUGCUCGAGCUCGACUCAAGCUCGGUCCUCGAGCUUGGUAUUGUCCGACCUCGAGUCGAGCAGCUGACCGAGCUACUCGCGAGCUCGAGUCGAGCUGCUCGAAUGAGCUGCAGCCCUAGUUUAACUUGUAAAAAAUAUUUCUCAAGAAUAAUAUAGUGCAAGUUAUUGAUCCCAUGUGAGAAGACUAAAAGAAUGGUGAAAAAUGGUGAAGUGCAUUGAAACUUCUAGCAAACUCCUUUGAGAAUCUGAACUUUCAGUUCAAAACCCCAAAAUCCUUAUCUCCUAUUUGGCAUAUGUCUGCUUAAGAACUCACUCCCCAUUUUCAUUGUCCAAUUUAGUCCUCUAGAGCCUCUAUGUUGAUGACUAUCAUGACUAUCAGAAUUGUGUACUAGUUUUCUUUCUUAACUAUGGCUUUUCUUUUUUCACGCUUCACAGUAAUUUAAGCUACAUUUAUAUUUGAGUUUUAUGUUUGGUUAAAAGUUUCAACACUAGUGAUUAAUGCUGCAAAUACUUAGACAAUUGAAGAUUUGGUGUGAUUAACAAAUCCCAUUCCAGGAGCAAAAGUAAAAAAAUCAGGGCAACAUGAUCAACUUCACCAAAGAAGAACUGAAUGCCUAUACUGGCAAUUUUGAAGUCUACUUAGGGGAGGGGAAAAACGGACGAGUCUACAGAGGACAUGUCCCUACCAAUAAUAAUCAUGAGUUGAACGAAAUGUUAAUUGCAGUAAAGCUCUCAAAGAAUCAUGAUUCAGACACAAUCACCCAAUUCGAGGUAUCCACGUAAUUUACUCACACAUGCAAACUACUAAUAUACAUAAAAUCUAAAUUCUUUUACCUCACAACUUGUCAGAAUGAAAUCGAAUGGCUGCCUCAGUUGAACCAUCCAAAUAUUGUUCAAAUGGUGGGGUUAUGCAGAUCCCCUGAAGGAAUCUAUAUCGUCUAUGAACUUGCGAAAGGCGGAGAUUUGCUCAGUAAAUUGGAAGGUAAAGUACAUAUGCACUUGAUUACUCUUGAAAUAGUGAUUUUGUUAUAGUAAACCCUUUUUUUUCUUUUUGAGAAACAGAACUGGACUGGCAGCAAACACUGGACAUUAUUUUAGGACUAGCUGCAGCCAUAGAAUAUCUUCAUGACACGGGUCUAAGAAUUGGAGACCUAAAAGCUCCUAACUUACUUCUUGAUGAGGUAAACUUCGAAAAAAACUUUUAACAUGAAGAAAAAGAAAACUUCUUCACAAUGAGAUGUUACGUGCAAUACUCAACCAUUGAGGUUUGAGAUGCUAAUGACUUUGCUUGCUUGUCUUCAGAAUUUUCAGACAAAACUAGGAGACUUUGGCACCAUAUCACCUAUGGCUACUAUUCAUACAAAAGCAAGAAUCUUUAUGACCCCUGGAUACAUGGAUCCCAGUUUUUCUUUCAGAUGUAUGAACUCAAUACCUUCAAAAAAGCAGGAAAGUCUGGUUAUAUAUGUAUAUAUAUAUUUAUGACUAGAGAUUUUCAGUACAUUAUGGUCAUUGCAGUUACUCCUCCAUACCAUUCUUAUUAGUUACUAUGCAACUGUUUUGCAAGGUGUUCCAAGCCUAGAUGAUGACAUUUACGGCUUUGGAGUGAUAAUUCUGCAACUGCUGACCAAACAGAUUUUUCCUAUCGGAACACAUACUCAUAUUGCAGAGAAGACUGAGACAGAGUUUGCUCAAGGAGAUCCAGUAGUUCAUGAGAAGCUGAGGGUGAGUGGCUGUUCAAAAGAUGAUGCAAGUACAAUUACAGGGUUGGCAGUCCAACUCACCAAUAGACCAUUUCAAAAUGCCCAAGGAGAAUGGUUCAACGUAUACAGGCCAAAUAUUGCAAGUGUAACUCAGGUGCUCAAUACGCUACAUGUUGUUCAAAGAAAUGCCAUACACAGGGGUUUUCUAAUGCUAAAGUUAAAGGCUCAAGCGAUAAAGACCAAAAUCAUGAAAAAGUAACUUUCUAGCAGUAGCACUCUUCUGUGAUAAUCAUGGACCAUCUACAUUCUGUCUGACACGGAAAGACUACUGUCUAAUAUGCUUUAGAACAUGCUGUCUGGUCACAGGUUUUGGUGACAAUUUGUUGAUUCCAAAUGUUGUCUUAACAGCUUCUUGCAUGGAUAUCUACAUUGUGAUUUUCUUGUUAAUUUCUAGGAGUGAUUUUUAUCUUCUUAAGCAUAUUUUCUCAUCCUAUUCCAAGUUGCUUCUUUAAAUUCCGGUGAAAUUCAAUAUCUGGCUUUCCUACAAAGCUGUUGUUCCUACCAAGUGUUCGUGCUGUAUCAAAAGUUCAUUUGUGCUGAUGGUUUUGAAAAUUUAGAUAGAGCAGGAAAUGCAGAAAUGCUUCUUGACAUGCAGGUUUUUGGUGCUAAUCCUGACAAUAGAGUUUUCAGUGUGCUAACGAAAACUACAAGGGAACUGGAAAAUAUGUCAUGGUCCAAACCUUUUUUCCAUUUCUUGUAUGUUAUUUCAGUAUCAAUUCAAAUUCUUAGACGUGAACCAGGUGGCCCCUGAGUCCAUGCAUGCAUCCUUAUCUGCAGUGGUGGAACAAACCACUUGUACUUCUGAUUAAGAAUGCAACCAAGACUAUCUAAGUAGCAUAAGCACGUAGAGUUAUAAAAUCCUAUGCCAAGACACUAAACCAAUUGUUAAAACUGGGAGUUGCAAUAAAUCAAUUCUAAAGGAGUCAACUGACAGGUUUAAGGGCGACUUCUUAGAAGACUCUUGAUAUGGUUUUCCUUUUCCACCUCCAGAUAAAAACCUGGAGCAGGAGAACAUAGUUUAAACUACAUUAAUACAUGCUCAGACCUUCCUGCUACAAGUUCAAUCAGCUUGCUGAUCUCUCUCUCAGCCACCCUCCAGACCCAACCUAACAGAAGGAUAUAUCCACAUUCCUGAGUCAUUAGUAAAAUGAAGUGCAAAACUGAACAUCAAAUCAUUUCACAUUCCUUUCCUGGUUUCUACAUUCUUGUUUGGGAGAAGCAUCAAGAAAUAUACACAGUAAGGCCGGGGUCUGCAAGUAAUUCCUGAUGCCAAAUGCUUCCUUGUGCAGGUAUCUUAUCAUUAGAAGGAUCAAUUAACAGUUCUUUGAGAUAGGGUAAAAGUUAAUUAACAACAAAUUUACUGCAGGCUGAGUUUAGAAUAAAGCACUAGUAUUUGUUGACCAAUAAGGCUGCUUCUACAUCUCCUUGAAUUCUUUUUUGCCCCAGCAGUGUGAUUCUGCACCCAUGAACUAAAUGCAUUAGCUAUUUAUGUAAAUUCAGCCAGAUAUGUCCUAGCCGACUGUUUUUCUUAUUGUAAUUUAAGUGGACAACAAACACACACAUCAAGCAACAGGUUGUUUCUAGACCUCAAAACAGGGUCAUCUUCUUCAUAUUAUAGCAUCUUGUAUGUGUCUUGCAUAAAUUAAGUUCUACUAAAGCAUCAUCCGUGAUAGACAAACAAGUAUAUGCAAGUCCAAGAGAAUAUAAAAGGACAGACAAAAGUCUUUUAGUGUCCAAAAAAAAAAACAGAGAAUCUUGAAGUAUAAAUAUAUGAAAAAUUCGGAAGAAAUGUUCAUAGGGUAACAUCUUAUAGGGCCAUUGGCAUACGGCUAAUUACUCAGAAUAUCGUUGAAAAAAAGAAAAGUCGGGCACAUAUGGAUCUGACAAGGGGUGCUGCAAAUCUAUGGCUGGCAGCAGACAAAAUUUUUUUUUUUUUUUAAUAAAUUCGCUGGCUGCCGGGCUGUGUUAGCCCGGCAGCCGGCAGACUUCUGCAAAAAGCUGAGCCAUUCCAAUUUAAAAAAAAUAUAUAUAUAUUCCUGUUGCAAAAAGAUGGCUUCUUCAACGCUUUUGCUGUUGGUGGUGUUUAUUAUUGAUUUGAUAGCUUUUGCACUUGCUGUUGCUGCUGAGCAAAGAAGGGCUUCUGUAAGUUUAUUCCCAGACUUCUAAUUUGCCUUCUUCUAUGCCAAUUUAGAGUGGUAGAUGGAACUCUUUUUUCUUCAUUAUAGCAUGAGGUUUUUGGUUAGAGCUGCUGGCAGAAAGUUGCAAUUUUGUUUUGGUUCGUGAUUUGCUAAUAUUUAAUUGCAAUUUUUAUAAAGGCCUGUUGAAUUUUCAUGUCCAUCUGAAAUAGAAUCCAAGCCUGUCUGUUGUUCUCGAGUUUAAUGAAUUUCCCAUUUUAGGUAUUCAGGUAGCUAAUUUUACAGUAUAACCAACCAUUCAUGUUCAGUGUUGUGGAUGUGACAUGGAAAUAUGUAUUGAGCAUGAGCAUUCUAGCAAUAAAUCACGGUAGGCCUAAUGAGAAAAAUUAUAGUUUGUGGUCUUCAUCUCCAUAUUGUCUUUGCGUGUCUUUGCAUAUUGUAGAUUUGUGUGUCUCUAGUUCUGCAGGUCUCAGAGUGAUAAGAAAUUUUGAUGUCAUUUAUGUAAGACCCAACUGACACAUAACAUAUUGCAUACAUUUCAUGAAGGUCUCCAUGUAAAAACUGCUUUUUUUUUGUCUCUGCUAUAACUAUAGAAAGGGCAUUCAUUGACUAGAUAGAAACGUAUGAGCCCCAAUAACUGAAGAUUCAAUGAAAAUCAAAAGAGAAAAUAUUAUAGAGAUUGAAGGGCUUGAGACCAAGGUUCAGUAGGGGCUUCCAAUGGUUGGGAAAUUUCCAAAAAAAAAAAAAAAAA
rnacentral:lncRNA from 1 species